rnacentral:lncRNA from 1 species
CCUCUCUCUCCUCUCCCUCGCUCUCUUCCCUCUCAAUCCCAGGCUCCUCUCUAUUCCUCGGACGAACUGCGCCACCGCCUCCACCUCCCGACCACGUUCUGGAGCCCAUCAGUGGCUCCGAUUCGCCGUCUGGGCCCAGCGAGCUCGAGUUUGAACCUUCCGUGCGCGCGCUUCGCUCCCGUUACAGCGAAGGUGUCUUCCUGGUCACUCCCGACCAUGUCGCCGCCUCUGCCUCCGCCUCCGCCUCCGCCUCCGCCUCCGCCUGUCCCGUUCCGGAAGCUCCACCGGGGGCUCCGGUUCAUCGUCUACGUCCGACGAACUCAGGCUAGGGUUUUUCCCUCUUUCGCGAUUGUAUCCUCGAGUGUUACUUUUGUGGGGAACCGGUGGAACUGGUGGCUCUUUGGAAAGAAUUUGUUGUCUGGGAGAUUCUCUCUUUCCUGGCCGGACGUUAAGGUUAUAGAAGAUGCAUCGACUUGAUAAAUUCGUUAUUUCUGGUUUGGUGGAUUUUUGUUUUCCUGUCAGUUUUCUGGCACUCCCGAAUUUCCAUAUUUUAACUUGUAUUCGAGUGUUUACACGGAAUUUCAUCAUAGAUUUUUCUUUUGGCUAGGCAAGGCCUACAUUAUAUUUACUAAAAGCAAUUCUGUACUUAGAGCUGAAAGUAAAAAAAUUUGUCAAUCACGAAAACAUUUUCACAAUUUAUUCUCCUAAACAGUACUUAAGGACAAAAAUGGGGAAUAUAUUUUCACACAGCUAAUUUCUCGUAAAACAUUCCCUCGGUCUCCUCUGUAGUAUGCAAAUUGGAAUGGAGAAUCCAUACUCAUCAUCAGUAACUCCGCCUAAAAGCUGGUGAAUUGACGUAAAAAACUUGGGAAGGUAAAAAGAUUAAUUGGUAUGAAACUUGAACCUUUAUAGGGCAGACUGCAAGUGGAAAAUUUUUUACUCUCAAUGCCGCCUAGGAAAAGCACGUUUCCACGGCGGUCUUACAAAGUUCCAUGAGAAAUUCUUUGCCUUAACCAUUCAUAACGAAGGAUAGGAAAACAGAAUAGACCCUAUAGAGGUUCCCAUGAAAGUUACCAUACUCAUUAUGAGUUACUCGGUUUAAGCCAUAACCGCGGCUUAUUUGACAAAUCAGUCGCUACUACAUCACAGGAUGCAAAUUUAAAUACAGCUGGAAGGGCUACAGUUAAUACAGGCCAGAGCAAGGUCACGUAACCUAGUUUGCUUUUAAUUGGAACUAAAGAAUUUUGAAUCCAGAUUGAUGUGUUCAGAGUUGGGUCCCAGAACAAUUUAAUCAAAUUAAUCCACACACGCUGCAUUCAGAGAUUGGGCGAGCUCAACCAAUUUCUACUUCAUUUUGGGAUGUUUGUCCUCCACCGUCAGUGCAGAUGAUGAAGGCAAUAACCCCAGAGAUACCCUCAGGACAUCCAAACUCUUAUAAUACUGGAAAUUCCCAUGGAAAGCCGCCACCUUGCCUUGAGAAACCACCAAUAGCUUGUCUGCGCUUCUAGAUAUUAGAUGCUCAUCGAGACUAACCUGCAAAUCAAGGCGAAAAGAGGGCUGUCAGCUGCGAAAUGAUCCAUCCAAGAAACAAGACCAGACCUCGAAUGAGUGCCUCAUCCACAUCCUACAAUUGGGUAUAGUGGAAAAGGCAGGAUCAUAUCUAUUUCUAGACAAGAAACUAACGAUUUACAAAGAUGACACUUGAGUAGUCACUACUCAUUAAAGCAAAACUAAGAUUGAACAUUUAUAAGCAAGAAAAGGGUCCACAUUCAUUAUGUGCAAAGCCCAACACUACCUCGAAGCACAAACAUAGGAACUACUUGGUAGUAUCAUAGAUUACUGUAAUACAAACACACUGAUCAGGCUAGUAGAACCAUUCUAUUCCCAACAUUUUGCAAGUUGGAAAAACUAGAUNNNNNNNNNNNNNNNNNNNNNNNNNNNNNNNNNNNNNNNNNNNNNNNNNNNNNNNNNNNNNNNNNNNNNNNNNNNNNNNNNNNNNNNNNNNNNNNNNNNNNNNNNNNNNNUCAAAUGGUGCAAGAACAUAACAGCUAACUGAAAAAGAAAAAUGAGUAAACCCAAUUAAAUGAUUGGAUGGCUUGUCAAGCAGAACUAUGUGAGGUUUCUUGAAAGUUAUCUUGGCAGAUGCAACUCUACUUAUCUAACCACCUAUGUACAUGGUCAAAGCACCAUGUUAUAUGUGCAAUAACAUCCAAAAAGCCUCAGAGCAAGUACACAGUGAACCACAAUUGAGAUUACAUAUCAACUAACCUCAGCUUCACGAUAUCACACAAAAAUUGCAUGAAAUUUUUUUUUACAUGCGCAACAGUAGCAAAGAGAGAGAAGAUGAUCUAGACAAGGUAUACAUUGAUGAAGUGCAGGAUUUCCAGUUAGACCAAGGAACCCAGGUGAGCUCAGGAAGAAUGCCACAUAAGAAGGUAAUUUCAGAUACAAUGACAUGGUGUAUGACGAAUUUAAAGAACUGACAAGAUUUGCCCCAGAGGUCACUACUGACAAUGCAAACCUAGAGAUAGGUAGGAUAUCAUUACCGUCUCAACCAAAUAAGCAUGAGUAUAUUGGCUAAAAAUUUCUAGCAAGCUGUAGGUAAUAGUUCCUAACUCAACAGAGAUCAAGACCUAAAAAUAAGGUGGUUUAUGAAUAUUGAUCCUAUCAUGAAUUUGGGUUGCAUUGAAAGCUUAGAGCCAUGAGCACCCUAAAUAGACUGCUUAAUACUAUGAAGGAUCAUCAUCAAUAAAAAGAAGGUUCUCAAUUCUAAAGAAAACCAUAAUUAAAAAAAAAAUUGCAUCCCCUUUCUUCACAAUCAUAUCACAGCUUCCACAUGACUAAUUUGAUUUUUAGAUUUUGAGAGAGAUAAUUCUUAUUUGUAUAAUAAUCAUAAGAAGAAAAUUUAUAGCAUAUCAGUGCACCAAAUAAAUUUAACUGAUUCUUCCUUUCUUGUAAAUUGUUAAAAAUGACACAUAACAUUGACAACACAACCCUACCUCAAUAAUUUUCACAAGUGGUCCUUCCAAGAAAUUUUGCCAAUACAGAUGACAAUGGCAUCUUGCAAAACAAUCAAAGUGGAUGAGCUAGGGCACGAGAAAAAGAUGUUGGGAAGAUAGCACACAACAGAUGCUGAAAAUGCAGAGGAAUAUGAUUGUGGAACACCAUUGAAUCUUCAUGAUUCUCAUGUAUUUGAAUAAAAGAAGGAUGAAAUAUAAUAUUUGACCAAGCUACGCAAGGCCUACAUUAUAGUUAGUAAAAGCAAUUCUGUACUUAGAGUUGAAUACAAAGUUUUGUUGACCGUGAUAAUAUUUUCAUAAAUAAUUCUCCUAAACAGUGCCAAAGAGUGAAAAUGGGGAAAAUAGUUUACUGUGCAAAAACAUUCGUUUGCAAAUGAUUAAAUCGUUUUAGUGUGCAUGGGAAAGCUGACUUCAACGGCAAUAGAGUAUCAAACUUCCAGGGGCACAACAAAUGAACCUAUUGCUAGAACAAAAUGUGCAAAGAAUCAUAAAUUAUAUUAGGACUACAAUCCCAACUCAGUUCUUAAGCUAUUACAAAUGAUACUGCAUGCUCGAUGUCAAAAACUCAGACUCAUCGUUCCAUGAGCCCUGUCACGUAUAAAUGACAAAUAAGGGUUGGUGUAACUAUGAGUCCGUCCUGUAUAUCAGCAGCAAUCCUCUCUUCAUCCUUUUUCUCUUUCUCUAUGUAGCUAAGCCUCAUUUUCAGUUAUGUGAGGUAAUGUGAACCCAGUGAACCAUUCUUAGUUGAUGGCAAUAACCCUGAUUCAACAAAAACCGGAGUACAUUCCUAUAGUCCCGGAAAUUCCCAUAGAGAGGUGCCACCUUGCCUUGUGAAACCACCUAGACUUCAUCCAAGCUUCUAGCUAUUAGAUGCUCACCAUGACUAAUCUGCAAAUCAAGGUGAAAAGAGGGCCAUUAGCUGUGAAAUUAUCCAUUGUUGGUCAAAUUGAAGUAUUUUGACAAGAAAAUCAAUCUCACCAUCGAAAUUACUCCGUGGAACAAGGCUAGACAUUGAAUGAGUGCCUUAGCCACAUCCAAAUCCUACAGUUUUGGACAGGCAAAAAACAGAAACACUAAUCAUUAGACAAUAAAAUAACAAUUUACAAAGAUAAUUCUUUAGUCACAAGUCAUUAAAGCAAAACUUAAAGACCGGAUUUAUAAACAAAAAGGGGNNNNNNNNNNNNNNNNNNNNNNNNNNNNNNNNNNNNNNNNNNNNNNNNNNNNNNNNNNNNNNNNNNNNNNNNNNNNNNNNNNNNNNNNNNNNNNNNNNNNAUAUUUUCCACAUUGGAGCAAUUAGAUUGGUUUCUGUUCCAUUAUUUGCUAGAUGUAUGAUGACAAGGGCUACCAGCAGCUGUGACCACUAAUUGGUUCUACUUUAUUUUUAAUGUAAAGACCAAAUUCCGACAAGUCCAAUUAGUGCAAGGACAAUAAUAAGCUAACCAAAAAAGUAAUCAAAGUCAUAAAAUGGAGAAAUAUGAGUAGAACUUACCAUAUGAUUGGAUGGCUCGUCAAGCAAAAGAACCCAUGUGAGCUUGAACAUUUUGUUCCGAAACUCCCUGUAGGAAGAAUGCCACAUGAGAAGAUUAUUUUAAGAUAAAAUGGCAUAAUAUAUGAUGAAAUAUAUUCUGCGGUCGAGCAAAUGGAAAUGCCAACCCAGAGGUCACUACAUUACAAUCUCAACCAAACAAGCAUAAGUAUAUUGGCUAUAAAUUUCUAGCAAGCAGUGAGCAACAGUUCCAAAACCACCAGAGUUCAAGACCUAACCAACAAGCAAUUUAUGGAAUAUCAAUGCUGUCACGUGAAAGCUUGAAGCCAUGAGCCACCUCAGAAUUUUAUCCCGGAUUGACUGCUUAAUCCUACAAAGAAUCAUCGUCAACAAAAAAAAAAAAAAGGUUCGCAAUUCUAAAGAAAAACAUUAAAAAAAAAAAAGCCGCGUCCCUUUUCUUCCCAAUCACAUCACAGUUUCCACAAAACUAAUCAUGCUUUUAGAUUUUGAAAAAUAUUUGUUCUUAUUUAGAUCAUAUUCACUAGAAGGAAAAUUCAUACCACAGCAGUGCAACAAAUAUAUUUAAUUGCUUCUUCCUUUUUUGAUAAAUUGCAAAAAAAAAAAAAAAAAGAAACAAGACAUUGACACUAACAGCAUUAGCCUUACUUUAGCAGCGUUAGCACAUGAUCCUUCCAAGAGAUUCUGCCAAUGCAAGAUCACAAUGGUAUAUGCAAAACAACCAAAGUGAAUGAGCUUAUGGGCCCAAGAAAAAAGAUGUUGGGAAGAGAAUAGACAAUAGACGCUGAAAAUGCAGAGGACUAUGAUUGUGGAAUGCUAUGAUUCUUCGUGAUGGUGCGAUUUCAUUCACAAAUGGUUUGGGCAUCAAUUAGAAAUAAGGAUAUGUCAUCAACAUUGCAAGAGGCAGCAUUGCGAGCAUUUCAUCCUACAGUUCAUUGUCCAAUGAAACAAAGCCAAUCCAACCCAACGAGAUCCCCCACCCAAACAUUAGUUCGUACUAAGCAUCGAAUUGAGAAAGUAGAAUGGAAAAAGAUGCCUUCAAAACCAAAAAUAACUUACUCGAUGAGAUAGCUAGUACGAGUACCUAGAGGGGGGUGAAUAGGUAUACACAAAAAAUUUCUCGAUGUUUGCACGAUAUUUAAACAAUUAGAGACUUUGCAACAGUUGAAAAUUCAAUCGCAAGACUGAGUAAGGGAAAGAGAGAAUUGAACACUCAGUUUAUAGUGGUUCGGCUUGAUUCAAGCCUACGUCCACUCUUCUGCACUGACAGCCGAUUGGCUGGAUUCCACUAUGAUCAAAGAGUUGUUACAGUGUUGAUCUUCCUUGAUUUCUAGGUGUAGAUGAUCUACCACACUCGCUCAAGGCGUCACCAAGUAUAAACACUCUCAGUAUACAAUUUCGCUCAGUCUCAACUAACAAUCAAAGGAUCUUCAGACUCUGGAAUUUUUCUAUCGAUCACACUCUUAAAACAACUAGAACGUCUUCCUUUUAUACUCCUUCAUGCCAUCAUAGCCGUUGGCACUUACCAAAGGAAUUCCUCCAAUCUACCCGUUGGACGGAAUCAAUCAAGAAGAUCAUCCGAGCUAUAUAAGGAAUCUGAUGAUAGCCCAUCAAUCCUGUUCGCCCAUACAAUCAGGAUCUCGGUUUCCAAGAAUAGAAUAAUCCAAGAUUAUUUCGUCGACCAUCGGAUCUUCAAUCGUUCUUAGAUAAGAUAUAAAGAAUCCGAAAUGAUUAUCCAACCAAAGAAUCUAUCCCAGAGGAUAGGAUCAAAUCCUCAAUCAUAAACCUCGACUUUGGAUUUCCUUCAACACUGGAUUAGAAAGACUGUCAGUGAGAAUAACUUUGAGUCUUGAGUCUUGAGUCUUGAGUCUUGAGUCUUGAGUCUUGAGAUAACAAAGUCUUGAGACUAUAAAAUCUUGAGACUUUAACUAUCGAUAUCCAGACUUAGACUGAUAGAAAUGUUUUGUCAGCUUCAAAAUAUUCUGGAAAGAUUUCUCCAACACUCGAUCCCUAAGAAAACUGACUGUAGUGUAGAUCGGCUAGUCAUCAAUCUCGAUAUUAGGGAUCUCUUCGAUGAGGGGCCAAUAGUUGCCAGUGAGUUUUGCACAUCGCUCUUUCAAAAUCUUGCAUCGAUAUAUGCGCAAUUGUUGGAGGGAGGGAGGGAAGCCAUCCUCUGGCAAGUACCUCAACUUGGGGCACUUUGCAAUCGUUAAAUACUUGAGAGAGGAGAGAUGGUUGCGAAGGCCGCUCGAUAGUCUUUUCGCUUUUCUCAAAUCAUAUAUCGAAAGAUAGGUUAGAGAGAAAGGAAAGAGACUCCAAGCAUCCUCAUCCUCCGAAGGAAACCACUCCUUCUCUCCCUCCCCUCCCAUGUUAAACUCAACGAUCAGACUCUCGAGAGAUGUGAGCAGGUUUAAGCCCCACUCUCUCACUGGUUGCUUUAGAUCCACGAGCCCCGAAAUAACAAGCUUUCGCAAUUUGGGAGGCAAACCUCCUUUGGGUAAGCAUUUGAUAUUUUGGCAAACGAGAAUUAAUAGCUCUUGGAGGGAUGUAAGAUGAUGCCACUUAUUUGGCAGGGUCUUUAUCAUCGGACAAUCCCAAAGUUUAAGCCUCUACAAGGUGAUGGGAAGGGGUGGGAAGUCCUCUAUCUCCAAUAUCGGACACUCCCAUAUUUCCAAUUUAGUGAGAUUGUUACAGUUGGCAAUGUUACAGUUGGCAAUAGACUUUAUCUUAGAACAAUGAUUAAGAACAAGACUCGAGAGGGUUAAGGGAAGGGGAGGGAAGUCCUCUAUCUCCAAUGUUGGACAAUUAUAAAUAUGCAAUCGAGUGAGAUGGGAGAGCAUGUGAAGGCACUGUGGUAAGCUUCCCAUAAUUUGACAAUCGCUAAUUGUCAUUAUUUCAAGUGAUUCUACGGCAAUCCCUUCCAACGACUCCACUCCCUUACAAUUGUCUAUAUGAAGUGCCUUCAAAGCAGCAAGUCUACCCUUGGCAAAUGAAAAGGAUAUCGGAUAUCAUAAUAGUGACGUAUCNNNNNNNNNNNNNNNNNNNNNNNNNNNNNNNNNNNNNNNNNNNNNNNNNNNNNNNNNNNNNNNNNNNNNNNNNNNNNNNNNNNNNNNNNNNNNNNNNNNNNNNNNNNNNNNNNNNNNNNNNNNNNNNNNNNNNNNNNNNNNNNNNNNNNNNNNNNNNNNNNNNNNNNNNNNNNNNNNNNNNNNNNNNNNNNNNNNNNNNNNNNNNNNNNNNNNNNNNNNNNNNNNNNNNNNNNNNNNNNNNNNNNNNNNNNNNNNNNNNNNNNNNNNNNNNNNNNNNNNNNNNNNNNNNNNNNNNNNNNNNNNNNNNNNNNNNNNNNNNNNUUCCUUAGCUUGCCCAAGCAACUCAUAAAUCGAUGAUCAAAGGAAACAAGCUCUAUGAGUUUGUUAAUUUUGAGAAUUGUCAAAGAAGUUAGCUUGAACAAGCUCUUUAAGAUCUCCUUACUACAAUCCUCAAGGUAUAACUCAUCGAGAGAUGGAAGACAUAACUCACUGGUUGAGUUAUUCAAUUGUUGGCAUGAAUGAAUUUCAAGCUUUAUAAGACGAUCAAGUUGACAAGGCAAUGUCUUGACCAACGAAGGACAGCUCCGGACAAUAAGAUGCUCAAGACAAGAGAAUGGGACUUCUUCUUUUGGCCCCCUGCAUAAGGAGACCAAUCCUUCCAUGCCAACAUCUCUUCAAACUACAAAGUAAUUAAGGAAGAAAAAGGCCUAUCACCUCCAUAAAAAAAUAGAGCCUAUUAUUCUUACUGCAUUUAGACCUUUAAGAGAUAAUUGUCUCAAUGAAGGUAGUUGUCCAAACGAAGGCAAUGAUGUGACAUAAGGACAGUUCCACAAGCUCAAAGACACUAUCCGAGAAUAUGAUGAACCAUCUAACCAUGACGAGAAUAUUGCACCACCAUAGUUCAAAAUAGUGAGAUUUUCAAUAUCAAUGGGAGGUUGCAAAGACUCGAGCACCCGUGAUUCGCGCUUAUCAUUCCGAAGAAUUCCCAAAUCUUUAUCCCAAUGCAAGAAUAAUUUUCUUAGGCCUUGCUUUCCAAACAAAUUAGCAUCAACACCAUCUCUAACAUCUUCCACCUUUUGUAAUUUCAAUAUGAAUAAUUCUCCUUGAAGAUGUGACAAGUUCUUUAACUCCUUUAACUGUAGCCCUUUCUCUGUUCCUACCACAAACUUGGACAAGAUAGUAAGAUUCUUCAAGUUAUUGAUACCCGAUGGCAUCUCUUUUAGACUUUUUGUAUCUCUAACAUCAAGAAACUGUAAGCUGACCAACUUUGUGAUACCGUGAGGCAACUUUGAAAGCUGAUGACAACCUCUUAAGAUCAAAGCUUGUAAUUUGCACAAGUCACCAAUUGACUCAGGUAGCCUUCUGAUAGAAGUGUUCGAGAAAUUGAGAUAUCGAAGAUGUUUUAAUUCACCAACACAAUUCGGUACCUCUACGAUGCGACAAUGACAUAAUGAAAACACCCUAAGAAACUUCAAGUUUGUUAGCAAGUCAUGUAGCACCUUGUCGGAUAUAAGGAGAGAGUUGCCACUAGGUCCAAUAUGCACUAGAAUUAAACUUCUUAAUACCUUCAUAUCAUGAUAUGGCCUCAAGCAUUUUGAUGUAACAAACUACGACCAGAUGAAUGAUGCAUAACGAGCUCUCUCAAGAGAUGCAUAAUCUUCAUUAAUUGCUAGCUGAGACUCCCCAGUGCUAAAGCAUAUCCCACCCUCAAUUGACUUUGCUAGAUCAUUCAAAAGAUCAUGCAUUGAAAACUUAGAUGUGUCAACACUUGAUUUUUGAAGAAAUGAUCUAGAUAAUAAUUCAUCGAAGUAAUUCCAUCCUAAUUCAACUUAUUUUUUCUUUGUUUUUUGUCCAUCUAGAAAUCCCUCCGCUAUCCAUAAGAGUACUAGCUCAUCCCUCUCAAUUUCAUAAUCCUUAGGAAAUACCGCACAAUAAGAAAAGCAUCUCUUCAAAUAGGAAGGAAGAUGGACAUAGCUCAAUUUCAUAAUAGGGAGAACCUCAUCAUUCUUUGUCGUUGGAAGAUCCCAUAUUAAGUUAUUUAAGGUAUCUUCCCAUUCACCGGGUUUCAUUUUAUUACGUAGGGCACCGCCAAACAUCUUCGCUGCCAAAGGUAAACCUUUACAUCUUUUAGCUAUUUUCUUGCCUAUUGUUUCAAAUUCCGGGUAGCUCUUAAAAUUUGUUGCUUCAAGAGCAUGAAAGGCUAAUAAGCUUGUACAAUCAUCGAGGGACAAUUCCUUCAAAGGAAUUGGCGGUGCUUUAGUUACUGAAACAACAGCAUCGUUGCGAGUCGUAACAAUAAUCUUGCUUCCCCUAGCACCCACUACAAAUGGCUUUAAGAGGUCAGUCCAUUUUUCGUACUUCUCAUUCCAGAUAUCGUCUAGAACCACAAGAAACUUCUUUCCGAAAAGAUUGUCCCUCAACUUAACUUGAAACUCGUUUAGAUCUUUGCCCUCGUAGGGCAACCCAGUAAUUGACCGCAAAAUAGUCUUUGUUAUGUCGAGAACAUCAAAAACAUCUAAAACACAAACCCAUGCUCUCAUCUCAAAACAUCUAUUCACUUUGGCAUCAUUAUACAGCUGUUGAGCGAAGGCAGUCUUUCCAAUGCCGCCCAUCCCAACUAUGGGGACUAUGCUUAGCGUGGCAUUAGAAUUUUCAACCUCAUUGAUCAAUAGUUCGAGUAUUUGUUCUACUUCCUCCUCCCUACCAAAAAACUGAGGCUCUGAUAGAGAAGUGGUUAUCCUUUUGCUAGUGUAGUUGGAUUUGUCCACAACAUUCUCUCUCAAGUUUAGAUGAGCCUUUCUAGUGACAAUCGCUUCCAACCGGCCAUUGAUCUCUUGUACCUUGGUUUCAGACAUGAGCGAGGGUGGUCGGCUAAAUACAGACUUCCAUUUCCCCAAACCUUUGCUUGUGCUAGAUUUUGCCUCUAACUCAACCUGAGUAGCUUUGAUCUCAAACUCAUCGAGCAAGUCUUCCAUGUCAUAGGCCAAGUCCUUAACCUUGUCCAGCCACAGCUUCACUUGAUGGUUAUCGCUAAGUUCCUUGUCCUCUGUAUCAGCCAACACUGCAUUGAUUAUGACUAGCUUCUCCUUCCACUCCUUAGGCAAGGUAGUCUGAUUCCUUUACGUUGUGCAUAAACCAAUGCGGGAGAAGCCAACUUGUCAAACAGGACCUGAAAGGAUGAAGCCAAAAAGGAACCCAACACGAUCCCUCCAAUGUCCAUAGAUGAAUCAAUCACUGUAAUGAACAACAAAGGUGUUAUGGUGAAGCAAAGUGAAAAUGAACUAAUGGAGAGAGAAAACUACGAAGUCCUAGGAAGACCAAGAUAUAUAUAUAUAUAUAUAUAUAUAUAUAUAUAUAUAUAUAUAUAUAUAUAUAUAUAUAUAUAUAUAUAUAUAUAUAUAUAUAAAAGACCAAGACUUUCAAGGGAUGCACAUCAAAGGUUAGACAAAUCAAAAUAAAAUACUAUUUGUCCACAAGUGCUAGUUACAUCAAUUGCUCUCCUUAUUCUUCGGAUCAAGACUUUUUGGCUAUUGGACCUUUACUUUUGGCCAUCCAGAACAGAGUCUUAAUAUGACAAACUUAGAGUGUAUGCAUAUUUUCGCCAUAAGUGUUAUCACUCACGAGUGUUUUGUUGGCUUUUUUAGCGUUUGCAUAUUCUUAGUAACCUCAUGAUUUCAAUGUCUUUGUUUUCUGCUUUAUUGAUGAAUGUGAGAUUAAUGAAGUCUUACAUGGGAGUUUCUGUGCUAAAGAUUGACAGUAAGAUGGGCAAUAAUGAUUUGUUGAAGGGUGCUGAGGUAGUGGUUGAUAAUCGGGAAUCGCCUUGAUAGGAGAAUCGCGAUCCUUUGAACACGAUUAUCAAGUUCAUUAGUGUAAUGGGUAGAGUGUGACAUCCGGUGGAUUAUAUGUUGUUAAUACUGGACUUGUUUACCAUUUACAGUGGAUAAGGAGAAUAGAAACACGUGCUUUAGGCUAAAUAAGGAAAAGGGUCAAGCACACCGACUAAUUCAUUAAGCUACUUGCUUUAUUUUACUCUGCAAAUAGUGAAUAGUCAGAAAUCACCAAAUGACAAUAUAAUCUACUGAAAAUUAUACUCUACCAAUCACACCAAUGAACAAGAAAAUCAAGUUCAAAGGACCAUGAUUCUCGCUUCAAGCGAUUCCUCAUCAUCAACUGCUAACCCCUCACCUUUCAGCAGAUAUUGCCGCCCAUCUUGCUGCAACUUUUUCUUUUUUUCACAAGUGCUUGUUCUGUAAUAUUUAGAGAUUAUCCCCGUACAUAUGUAGUAUCCACGAUCAUAUACUUGUUCAUAUAAAAAAUCAUAAACUCGGGAAGACCAAAACUUCACUGGGUAUCAUGAACUUUUUUGUCGUGAAAGUGAAGUAUAAUUGAUAAAGAGCUUAUGGGAAAGAAAAUUUAAUAAAAUCGAAGAAUACUAAGACUUACGGAGAUGCAAAUUGGAUUUGUCGCUUCACUUUUCAAAUCCCUUCUCUUGCGUUCCCAUGUGAAUGUCUUUUUUACAUUACUAGUAGUUUUCCACGCGUUACAUGGAUACCAAUUUUUAUUUUUAUUUUUUAUGCGUGUGAUUGACAAUUAGCAGUGAUUCUUGUUCUCUUGCUCAAAUUGACAAAACUAUAAUUUAGUCCAACUUUGUCAUUUUUAAUCAUAUUGUGCUUAAUCAUUCAUUACUCUCUGUUGUACUUGUCUGUUGGAAUUAUGUCUAGAUUUCCAUUUAUCUUUUCAAAUACAAGUCUAAUAAAUGGAAAAAGAACAAGAAAAAAAAACUAAAUAAGAAAAACAGCCAAAAACUGACGAAGAAAAAAAAAUGCAGGAAUGGGGCGAUAAUACCCUUUGUGACUCGCGGAGAGUUCCACUUCACAUUUUUGUUUUGUUUUGUUUUGUUUUUUAUGAAGAUGCAAUCUAAAUUUAUUAAUAUGCAAGAUAUGAUUUUCCUAGAUUUCCCAAGUUAUAGCAUGUGAUUUAUCAAAGGACAUGUGCAAAAAAGAGAACUAACAAUAAUGCACUCCAAAAAGCCUAGAUGCGCAUGAUAAUGCUUAUCCAUGAAAAUUCUAAGUUUUCUAAUAUAAUUGUCCUGAUAUGGAUAUAAUGCAAUUCUAUGCUAAUAUGUAAUGAAAAAUCAAAAAAUAAAGGUCUGAGUUUUGGCUCAAACAAUUAUGCGUGCAGAUGUAUCACCUGAUUAAAACAAAAUUAACAAAUCACCAUGAAUUAUGCAAUCAAGCUGCAACUUUAACCUGGCCAGCAAGUAUAUGGCAUCAACUUCCCCCAAUUUUGCUAUUAAACUUGCUGCAUCAGUUCAAGGGAAAAAGAGAGCAGGUAGAAAGAUGUCUUUUACCUAUUCCAAGUGGACUUCCUGGAGCUGACCAGGCGAAUGGGAUAAGAUCCACAACAGCAAUCCAGCAAGCACGAGCGCUAGGUUUGGCAGUUCACUGUACGCGUGCGUAUUCAGCUACGGCAAUGCGUGGUCGCUGCUUGCAACGACGAACGAUGGUAUUGAUGGAGCGACGACUAGAGAUGGUGGUGAUCGGCAACAAUCGAUAUGCAAGCAAGAAGUGAAUUGAAUGAGUGGAGUCUGUGGGCGUGAGUUUGAUGAUGAUGGUGGUGGUGGUGGUGGUGGUGGUGGGUGAAGAAAAAGUGAGGCGGCGUGGUUUUAAGGAAAGGAGCAGGAGAACCAAGAUGGAUUCUGUGGCGUCUGUUUUUCUCUCGGAGGUUCCCAUUUAUCUUUAUUUCUUUUCUUCUCUCUUUUUUUUUUUUAUCUGGGGAAUAAAUUCNNNNNNNNNNNNNNNNNNNNNNNNNNNNNNNNNNNNNNNNNNNNNNNNNNNNNNNNNNNNNNNNNNNNNNNNNNNNNNNNNNNNNNNNNNNNNNNNNNNNNNNNNNNNNNNNNNNNNNNNNNNNNNNNNNNNNNNNNNNNNNNNNNNNNNNNNNNNNNNNNNNNNNNNNNNNNNNNNNNNNNNNNNNNNNNNNNNNNNNNNNNNNNNNNNNNNNNNNNNNNNNNNNNNNNNNNNNNNNNNNNNNNNNNNNNNNNNNNNNNNNNNNNNNNNNNNNNNNNNNNNNNNNNNNNNNNNNNNNNNNNNNNNNNNNNNNNNNNNNNNNNNNNNNNNNNNNNNNNNNNNNNNNNNNNNNNNNNNNNNNNNNNNNNNNNNNNNNNNNNNNNNNNNNNNNNNNNNNNNNNNNNNNNNNNNNNNNNNNNNNNNNNNNNNNNNNNNNNNNNNNNNNNNNNNNNNNNNNNNNNNNNNNNNNNNNNNNNNNNNNNNNNNNNNNNNNNNNNNNNNNNNNNNNNNNNNNNNNNNNNNNNNNNNNNNNNNNNNNNNNNNNNNNNNNNNNNNNNNNNNNNNNNNNNNNNNNNNNNNNNNNNNNNNNNNNNNNNNNNNNNNNNNNNNNNNNNNNNNNNNNNNNNNNNNNNNNNNNNNNNNNNNNNNNNNNNNNNNNNNNNNNNNNNNNNNNNNNNNNNNNNNNNNNNNNNNNNNNNNNNNNNNNNNNNNNNNNNNNNNNNNNNNNNNNNNNNNNNNNNNNNNNNNNNNNNNNNNNNNNNNNNNNNNNNNNNNNNNNNNNNNNNNNNNNNNNNNNNNNNNNNNNNNNNNNNNNNNNNNNNNNNNNNNNNNNNNNNNNNNNNNNNNNNNNNNNNNNNNNNNNNNNNNNNNNNNNNNNNNNNNNNNNNNNNNNNNNNNNNNNNNNNNNNNNNNNNNNNNNNNNNNNNNNNNNNNNNNNNNNNNNNNNNNNNNNNNNNNNNNNNNNNNNNNNNNNNNNNNNNNNNNNNNNNNNNNNNNNNNNNNNNNNNNNNNNNNNNNNNNNNNNNNNNNNNNNNNNNNNNNNNNNNNNNNNNNNNNNNNNNNNNNNNNNNNNNNNNNNNNNNNNNNNNNNNNNNNNNNNNNNNNNNNNNNNNNNNNNNNNNNNNNNNNNNNNNNNNNNNNNNNNNNNNNNNNNNNNNNNNNNNNNNNNNNNNNNNNNNNNNNNNNNNNNNNNNNNNNNNNNNNNNNNNNNNNNNNNNNNNNNNNNNNNNNNNNNNNNNNNNNNNNNNNNNNNNNNNNNNNNNNNNNNNNNNNNNNNNNNNNNNNNNNNNNNNNNNNNNNNNNNNNNNNNNNNNNNNNNNNNNNNNNNNNNNNNNNNNNNNNNNNNNNNNNNNNNNNNNNNNNNNNNNNNNNNNNNNNNNNNNNNNNNNNNNNNNNNNNNNNNNNNNNNNNNNNNNNNNNNNNNNNNNNNNNNNNNNNNNNNNNNNNNNNNNNNNNNNNNNNNNNNNNNNNNNNNNNNNNNNNNNNNNNNNNNNNNNNNNNNNNNNNNNNNNNNNNNNNNNNNNNNNNNNNNNNNNNNNNNNNNNNNNNNNNNNNNNNNNNNNNNNNNNNNNNNNNNNNNNNNNNNNNNNNNNNNNNNNNNNNNNNNNNNNNNNNNNNNNNNNNNNNNNNNNNNNNNNNNNNNNNNNNNNNNNNNNNNNNNNNNNNNNNNNNNNNNNNNNNNNNNNNNNNNNNNNNNNNNNNNNNNNNNNNNNNNNNNNNNNNNNNNNNNNNNNNNNNNNNNNNNNNNNNNNNNNNNNNNNNNNNNNNNNNNNNNNNNNNNNNNNNNNNNNNNNNNNNNNNNNNNNNNNNNNNNNNNNNNNNNNNNNNNNNNNNNNNNNNNNNNNNNNNNNNNNNNNNNNNNNNNNNNNNNNNNNNNNNNNNNNNNNNNNNNNNNNNNNNNNNNNNNNNNNNNNNNNNNNNNNNNNNNNNNNNNNNNNNNNNNNNNNNNNNNNNNNNNNNNNNNNNNNNNNNNNNNNNNNNNNNNNNNNNNNNNNNNNNNNNNNNNNNNNNNNNNNNNNNNNNNNNNNNNNNNNNNNNNNNNNNNNNNNNNNNNNNNNNNNNNNNNNNNNNNNNNNNNNNNNNNNNNNNNNNNNNNNNNNNNNNNNNNNNNNNNNNNNNNNNNNNNNNNNNNNNNNNNNNNNNNNNNNNNNNNNNNNNNNNNNNNNNNNNNNNNNNNNNNNNNNNNNNNNNNCGGAGCAUUCGAUAUCGUUAUUUACGUGGUUCAGUCGUAAAGACCUACGUCCACAGGGAGAAUAGCAGCGAAUUUCACAAUAGACCAAGCAAUACAAGGAGAUUACAUACUCAGUGUUUAGCCAAGCCCCAAUUACACCCAAUAACGCACGCAGUGUUUAGCCCCGAAAUUCCUCAAGAAAUAAUCUUUCAAUCUCAUGAAGGAAUUAAACACAAAUUUUACCACAAGAUUUAAUUGGCUACAAACACUAAAUCUUAUUGGAUGUAAUUCACAGACAAGAACGACAAAGAAAAUCCCUCUCAAGCACUCGAUGAUGAGAUAGCGCUUCAAGACCAAUUCUUCACAAUCAACCCUCUUCCAUUAUGUGUGUGUGUGUGUGUGUGUGUGUGUGUGUGUGUGUGUGUGUGUGUGUGUGUGACCCUUAUUCUUUUGUCAACUUCUUAUAGGAUUUUGUUUCCUAUCUUAAACGGUUUUAUCCAAAACAUAUCUCUAUAUGUUUUAAACAAAAUCCAAAUCCAAGUGAAAGUUAAACUUUCCUAUUUUAGCGGCCAAACUCUCAAACGCAUAUUCAAAUUUGGAAAGUUGAUCUUCGGAUCUUCUUUGCUCGAUUUCAAACGUUCGCAACAUAUCCAAUAUGGAAUUUCGCAUUGGGCUUAAACUCGAGACAUAUUUUAACAAUCUCCACCUUGCCUCAACGUUUGAGCCAAGUCACAAUAACUUCGCAAAAAAUUCAAACCAUGCUGCCAUAGCCCCCGAUGGGCUCAACUGUCACAGAUAUUAUCCAAAUCCAAGCCUCGAUUGAACUUUGCCAUAAUCGAGGACCUCAUCAGAAUACUAACUCCACAUGCAUCUUUAACUGCUCCGCAAGGAUUUUCCAACGCAAUCUCCUCAACCGCAGAUAAAGCAAAACCACUAUUGCAUCCAUAUCUAUUAGGAGAUCGAAUACAUACUUUGUUAAUUUCAAUAGUUAUAGCAACUAUCAGCUCUAUAGACUCCACCUUGCUACAAGCACCAUCUGUGUCGAUUACUUUGCUAAUACUCGUACUCGCUACCUCGGGAGUUUCUAGUCGCAACUCCACCUCAAGCUAAACACCGUCCAGAUCUGUAUUAACACUGCCACAAACACUCCUAGCCAGAAAUAUUGGAGACUCAUCAAGGGUAACUUCUCUGUUGUUAACAAGUGAAUUCAUAUCUGGGCACCACAACCGAUCACCCCGCUCACCUUGUGCAUAGCCAUGAAAUAUGUACCUUGCCCUCCAAUCGAGCUUACCAUCACUCACUCGAAAAUAACACGGGUAACCAAACAUUUUAAUAAUAGAAUAACCAAUAACGUUACCUGACCACACUUCUUUAAGAGACCGCCAUUCAAUAACAGUUGAUGGGAAUCUAUUCACCAGACAAUUUAUUGUAUUAAGCACAUCAGCUAGGAUUCUCCUAGUAAUACCAACACUAGAGAUCAUUUUUCGGCCCGUCUCUAGUAAUGUUCUGCUCAUCAAUUCUGCAAAUUGUUGUGAUUUACUAACACUAGUGUGAUGUUUCACUAUGCCCUCUUUCAUGUAGAAUUUAUUUGCCAGCUUCAAGCAUAACUCAAUGCUAUUGUCAGUUCGCACAUGCUUGAUCGACUUACUAGUCUCUGUCUCGAUCAAAGCUUUCAACCGUGUGAUCCUAACACCAACAUCAAACUUAUGUAUUGGCAUAAACACCCAGGUCUUCCUCGAGCAGUCAAAAGACUCUCGAACAGAUGCAUCUGGCAUCUCCACAGCAAAAUUUGUCAUUGUCUCACCUUGAAAUUUAUACAAACUUCCAUGCUUAAUUCCUUUCAUUAUCACCAGGGCACCUCGAACAAUAUUCAGAACUCCACCUUUUGAAGAAUACCUACAACCAGCUGAAUCUAGAGCACCCAAAGAAAUUAAAUUCUUUUUCAAUUCUGAAACAUGUCUUACUCCAUUCAAUGUCCUCCGUGCAUUCUGAUUUUAACAUCACCAACACCCACAACAUCAUACUCAGCGUUGUUCCCUAAUUGGACUUUACCACUACCCGUGCACUAAUAAGUAUAAACUAGUUUUUAUUUGGUGUGACAUGAAAAGAACAACCAGAAUCCAUAAUCCAUCCAUCAAACGAUGAAUCACUGGAGAUAGACAAGACAUAAUCGGCAUUAUCUGCUACAGCUGCAGCAUUAUUUGCAGAAUCAACUAUAAUUUUCUUACCAUUCUUAUUCUUCAGCUUAAGACAAUUCCUUCUAAGAUGCCCCUUUCUUGCCACAGCUCCAACAGACAACAUCACUAGUCCUAGACUGACUACACCUAUUCAUAUUAGUACUACUCUUACCCACACAUGUUAUAGAUCUUCCUCUAUUUUCACCUACUAAAGUAGUAGAUACAGAUUUGCCAGAUUCUCUUCUACGAAUGUCCUCGCUCAGAAUUAAAUCUCGAACCAAUAAACGUUAAACUUGUUGACCCAGAGGAAUUACUAAUAGUAAAAACAGUAGUAUUCCAACUAUUAGGUAAUGAGGAUAACAGAAUCAAAGCACAUACUUCAUCUUCAAAAUCAAUCUUAACUGAACUCAAUUGACUAACAAUCACAUUUAAUUCAUUGAUAUAAUCUGCAACUAAUGCACCUUCGUUCAUCUUCAAAUUAAACAAACGUCAUAUCAAAUAGACAUUGUUAAUCGCGGAGGGCUUCUCGUACAUAUCUGAUAAGGUUUGCAUCAAAUCAUCAGUGGUCUUCUCCUUUAAGAUGUUAAACGCGACGUUACGAGCCAACUUCAGCUGAAUAACACCCAUAGCUCGUCUAUCCAGCAAAUCCCAAUCAGCUUACUUCAUCGUCUCUAGUUUCUCCCCAAAUAAAGGUAAGUGCAGUUUCAUUUGGUAAAGAUAAUUUUCAAUUUACAUGUUCCAAAAAGUAAAAUAUUUCCCAUCAAAUCUGUUGAUUCUCACUUUUACUUCUUCUGUCGCCAUCGAUUUGCUUCAACUUAGCCAAGCCUGACUCUGAUAUCACUUGUUGCGAAAGGCGAGCAAUCGAACAAUAAUAUAGACAGAAGAAAAUAAAUCGGACAACGGAUUUACAUUAUUCAGUCGUAAAGACCUACGUCCACGAGGAGAGCAGCAUCGAAUUUCACUAUAGACUAAGCAAUACAAGGAAAUUACAUACUCGAGUCACUCAAACACUCUUUCGGCGUUUCCCAAGCCCCAAUUACACCCAAUAAUGCACGUAUUGUUUAGCCUUGAAAUUCCUCAAGAAAUAAUCUCUCAAUCUCACGAAAGAAUUAAACGCAAAUCUUACCACAAGAUUUAAUUGGCUACAAACUCUAAAUCUUCUUGGAUUUAAUUCACGGACAAGAACGACAAAGAAAAUCCCUCCCAAGCACUCAAUGACGAGACGGCGCUUUAAGACCAAUUCUUCAUGAUCAACCAUCUUCCAUCCAUAGUCACAAGUCUAUAUAUAAGUGAGACUCUUAUUCUCUUGUUAACUUCUCAUAGGAUUCUGUUUCCUAUCUUAAACGAUUUGAUCCAAAACAUAUCUCUGCAUGUUUUAAACAAAAUCCAAAUCCAAGUGAAAGUUGAACUUUCCUAUUUUAGCGGCUAGACUAUCAAACGCAUAUUCAAAUUUGGAAAAUUGAUCUUCAGAUUUUCUUUGUUCGAUUUUGAAUGUCCACAACAUAUCCAAUUCGGAAUUUCGCAUUAGACUCAAACUCGAAACAUAUUUUAACCAAUCUUUAAGGCACUCAUUUGUAUUCAUCCGUCAAUUAUUAAAGGAUGAAAUGAAAAUGUUCACCAUUUUUCAUUCGAAAAAGAAGAGCAUUUAAGACUCAUAUGGUAUUAUUGAUUGUAUCAUAAAAUUAGUCCAUAGUAUUUUAAAUACUUUUAUUAAUCAUGUUUUAGUUGUAGGUUCUAAGAAUUAACAAAAGUCGAGAAUCUAAAUACGCACAAGCAGAACAUGUAAUGCGUGUGGACAUGGAAUGACUCAAGGUUUUAGCUAGAGAGAGAGAGAGAGAGAGAGAGAGAGAGAGAGAGAGAGAGAGAGAGAGAGAGCCAUCAUAUUAUGUCAAGUUGGAGUCUAGUGUCAUGGGCCAAUCGAUCACUCUCGAUCACUCAUAGGUUGACCCAUGUGACCCUAGGAUUUUACUCCUAAGCAGCCUUUCCCACACUCGACUCACAAGGAUCUUAGAGAGAGAAGCUCUGGAUUGUAUUUCACUUGUGAAUGAGAUAAUACAAUGAGGGGGAGGAAACCCCUAUUUAUACAAAGACAAGGCAAACCGUAUUCAUAGAUCUCUCCUCGAUCUAAUGAUGGAGAUUAUAUCUCCCUGACUACCAACUACCCACAUUUAUUACAUAUGAAUAUAAUUACCGUAUCGCCCACCCCUAGGAGUAUUCUAGAAGGCUCAAGAAAACCCUAAGUCUCGGGAAUACAAGCUACAGGUCGGAUGUGUCACGCCCGUUCCAUAGGAACCUCUUGGAUCAGCUUUCUUUCGGGCUGUGACAUUCUCCCCCACCUAAUCAAGCGACGCCCUCGUCACAUCUUCAGCAUGGAAAGCGUCGAUCUCCUUCUUGAAAUGCCAAAGACUCUCCCUGGGCUCCCAACUUGCUUCACUCUCUAGAAGACCCUUCUAUCGGAUCAAAUAUUCUCGCUUGGGCACGCGAUACUGCUUCCGUAUGAUUCGAUCCGCCGUGAUGCUCUCGACUUCUUGAUCAUACGAGGUUUUUGCUCUGAGUGGCACCCAUUGCGACUCCCCUCGAUUUGGGUCUUCCUCAUCAAACUGGAAAGGCUUCAGCAUACUCACAUGGGAAACCGGAUGUACCUUGAGCUUUGGUGGUAGCUCUAAUUUGUAUGUGGCCUUCCUAACCCGUUGCAACACAUGAAACGGCCCCUCGUGGUGAGGAUCAACCCCUUGUGCACGUCCUUGUAUCAAAGAACCAUGUGUAGCUUGGCCAGCACUUGGUCCCCAACCUGGAACUCCACAUGCCAUCGCUUUUUGUCGGCCCACUUCUUCAUGAGCUUGGAGGCUUUGUGUAGACACACCCUUGCCAAGUCGGCUUGCUCUUGCCAAUCCUUGGCGAACUUAUACGCGGAUGGACUACUCUCCCGAUAACCCGAAGCAAUGGCGCUAGGGGUAUUCGGUUGCUGCUCGGUUGCGAUCUCGAACAAGCUCUAGCUGGUUGACUUGCUCUGCUGCAAGUUGUAGGAGAACUAGGCUACCUCGAUCAACUUUGCCAAUUCACUUGCGUUGUACUCACAUAGUUUGAAGAUAAAUCUCCAAGAGUGCAUUAACCCGCUCCAUCUAACCGUCGGUUUGGGGAUGCAAACUUGUGGACAUAUUUAGCUCCGACCCCAGCAACUUGAACAACUUGGACCAGAAACGCCCCGUGAAAUGAUGAUCGCAAUCACUCAUGAUUGUUUGUGGCACUCCACAAUACUUAACCAUGUGUUUCAUGAAUAGCUUGGCCGCCUCCUUUGUCGAACAAUCCUUUGUCGUAGGCACGAAAGUCACAUACUUGGAAAACUUAUCCACCAUGACCAUGAGAGUCCGACACCCUUCGAACUUUGGCAGGUUGACGAUAAAGUCCAUAGAAACACUUUCCCAUGGACGAAUUGGAAUGGGAAGCUGCUCCAACAGGCCCAACCACGAUCGUUGCUCUAGCUUAUCUUAUUGGCACACCAAACAAGUCUUCACAUAAGCUUCCACAUUGUCCCACAUUUGCAGCCGGUAGUACCGAUCUUCGACGAGGGCUAAUGUGUAGUGGAUCCCUGGAUGACCUGCCCACUUCAAGUCGUGGCACUCGUGCAAGAUCUCCUUCCUUAACUUCCCAUAGAAGGGCACGUACAAAUGCCUUCCUUGGGUGUAAAGGAGCUCGUCCUCACACCAGAAUUGUCGAGUCCUACCUUCAUUUGCAUACCCAAUAAGGGCUUGACCUCUUGGAUCAUGCUUCAACCCCUCAUUUAUGCGGUCAACCCAAGGACAGCUCAUCGACUCACUGAGCUACUCAUCAGCUCCAUUUUUCAACUCAACGCAUCCGCCACGGAGUUGGCCUUCCCCAGCUUGUACUCCAAUGUGUAGUCGAACUCCACUAAGAAGUCUUGCCAGCGAGCUUGCUUCGGACUCAGCUUCUUUUGGGUCUAAAAAUAGGUCGUGGCCACGUUGUCUAUCCUCACAAUGAACUUUGAUCCCAGGAGAUAAUACCUCCACAUCCGAAGGCAGUGGACCACCGCGGCCAUCUCCUUCUCUUGAACGAUAUACCGGCGCUCGGUAUUGUUCAACUUGCGAGACUCGUACGCCACCAAAUGUCCUUCCUACAUAAGGACGCCACCAAUAGCAAAAUUUGAGGCGUCAAUUUCUAUCUCGUAAGGCUUGAUGUGGUUAGGCAACGCCAACACCGGCUCCUCGGUCAUGGCUUUUUUCAACCGAUCGAAUGCUCUUUGGCAUCGAUCCAUCCACUUCCACGGUUUCUCCUUCUUCAACAGGUCCGUGAGCAACACGGUGAUACUCGAGUAGCUCCGAAUGAAUCACCAGCAGUAGUUGAUGAGGCCCACGAACGACCUCACCCCCAUCACCUUUGUCAAUGGCUCCCAUUCGACGAUCGAUUGAAUCUUUGCUUUGUUCAUACGCACUUGUUCACCCCCAACAAUGUGCCCCAAAAAGGGGACUUCCUCUUGGGCAAACGCACACUUCUUGCGCUUAACAUACAGCUCAUUUUUGCGCAAGGCUUGGAAGACCUACUUUAGAUGCUCGACAUGCUCAUCGAGCGUCCGACUAUAGACUACAUAAUCAUCUAGGUAAACCACUACAAAUCGAUCUAGGAAAGGGUGGAGUACCUUGUUCAUGAGCGUACAGAAUGUGGCCGAAGCGUUGAUCAGGCUAAACGGCAUCACGAGAAACUCAUAAGAUCCAUACCGCAUCACGCAGGCUAUCUUCGGCUCGUCUUCUUCAGCGAUCCGAACUUGAUAGUAGCCAGAUCGGAGAUCCAGCUUGGUAAACCACUUAGCUCCACUAAGUUGAUCGAAGAGAUCCGCGAUGAGUGGAAUCGAGUACUUGUUCUUCAUGGUUAGCUUGUUCAAUGCUUGGUAGUUGAUGCACAUUUGAAGUGACUCAUCGUGCUUCUUUUGCAACAGGACUAGUGCACCGAACGGAGCUUUGGAUGGCUAAAUAUAGCCCACAUCGAGCAACUCCUUUAGUUUUCUCAUCAACUCUUCCAAUUCGGGGGGCGCCAUGCGAUAAGGCGCCAUGGCAGGCGGUCAAGCUUCAAGCACCAGCUCGAUCCGAUGAUCCACCUCUCUUUGAGGUGGUAGCUUCUUCAAAAACUCUGAAGGCAUCACGUCCUUGAGCGAGCCGAGGACUUGGGCUACCUCCGUUAGGACUUCCUUCCCUUCGCCCUUGUUGUCUUUAAUCUUCAAGGCAGCUAGGAUGGUCACUUCACCCUUCCUUGCCCCUUUGGUGAGUUGCAUAGCCGAGAUCAUCCUCCUAUCACGGUCCGAUUCACGAUGUACUGGAAUCACACAUUGACAAUGCUUGUCCAACACGCAUAUACACUCGGCGAAAGGCAAUAUAACAACAUGGAUUUUAUCUAGGAAUUUUAUCCCAAUGAUAAAGUUGCAGUCAUCAAGGAGAAUUACCUCUAGAGUCUCCCUGCUCUUCCAUGGCCCGAGUUGUAGCUUCACGUCCCUUGCAACACCGAUUGCAUGGAUUUUUCUUGGAGUUUACCGUCUUGAGCCACCCGACUCCUUUAUCAACCCGUAGGUUAAGUCUUUUCGCGGCUUGCUCCGAUAUAAAAAGAUCAGAGGCUCCCGUAUCCACGAGCGCACUCAUUGUGGACUCUCCGAUCUUCAGGUCCACGAACAUCAAACCUUUAGGCUCCUUCGCCUUCUUGGACUUGAUCGUGCUCAGGAGUUGUAGCGAACCUAACCACGUUUCCUCCCUAGGCUCAUCUUCCUUGCAAAGGGCGGCUAGCUUGGCCUUGUUCGGGCAAUCCCGCGCUAUGUGCAGACCAUGGCAAAAGAAACAUUUGUAUGAGCGUACCUUCCUUUGUCCUCCUCCGCUCAACUUCGCAUGAGCUUUGUAAGGACUAGCCAAUGGUCUACCUUCGAUCGGGCAGUUGUAUCACCCCCGAUCUCCCCCACAAGUGGCUUUGUUCCUCGGACACGAGUCCGAUCGGGAUGUGGAAAGCACCUUGUAUUCCACAAUCGAUUCGGCCAUGGUCAUGGCCGUCGUGAGAUCUCCCACAUUGCACCACUUCAACUCUUGCUUAGUCCAUGGUUUGAGACUACUCAUGAACUGGUGAUACGCUUCAAUCUCGUUCAUCGAAGGGAUUUGGAGUAGCAACUCUGAAAACCGCUUGAUGUAGUCGCGCGCACCACCCUUUUGCUCGAGACGCUUCAACUUGUGAAGAGCUUCCUCCUCCACAUAAGCAGGAAAGUAGUUCUGUAGGAACUCCUCGAUAAAUCUACCUUAGGUUGUGAUAAGUACCCCACAUCUAUCAUCUGACCAACGACACCACCACAACAAUGCAUUAUCGACUAAGUACAUAGAUGCAGUAUUUACCCGUGAUUGCUCGUCAUUAAUCCCCAUGGCUUGGAAGUACCGCUCCAUAUACCAGAGGAAAUUGUCCACGUCCUUGGCCACCCGCAAGCCUCGGAAAUCCUUUGGCUUCGGUGUGUCCACUUGUGGACCUUGCAUAGUGAUCACCCUAUUCAUCUGUGCAACUUCCAAUUCAGAAAGCUUACCCUUAAGCUCCGCUAUCUCCACGCGCAUGGCCACCAUCAUGGCCUUCAGGGGUUCGUACCGUUGUGUGAGUUAUUUCCGUAGGGUCCCUAGCAACUCGUGGUAGAGCUCUCCCAUGCCGGUCUUGAGCUCUUGCACCUUAGCAACGAGCUCCUCUCUUCCGGCGUCAACUCCAUCCACAGUUUGGGUCAGGUCAUCAACCAAUCAUUGGACAUCGAUAACAAACAACUCUAGCUUCGUCAUGCGAUGCGCAAGGUCCCCCGUUGGAUCCUUUGAACUCGAACCACCACGGGUCUUCUUCCCCUUGGCAGCAACCUUCUCGGUGUUCCUCCCACAAUCAACAUAGUCACCACCCAUGGCUUGCGCCUCAUCAAAUCGUGGAUCAGCUAUUGUGCUUGCGCUUGAAACAAACUCAGCUCCGAUACCACUUGUCACGGGCCGAUCGAUCACUCUCGAUCACUCAUAGGCUGACCCGUGCGGCCUUAGGAUUUUACCCCUAAGCAGCUUUACCCACACUCGAUUCACAAGGAUCUUAGAGAGAGAAAACCCUAGAGAGAGAAGCUUAGGAUUGUAUUUCACUUGUGAAUGAGAUAAUACAAUGAAGAGGAUGAGACCCCUAUUUAUACAAAGACAAAGCAAACCGUAUCCGUAGGUCUUCUCUUGAUCUAACGGUGGAAAUUACAUCUCCCCAAGUACCAACUACCUGCAUUUAUUAUAAACGAAUACAAUUACCGUAUCGCCCACCCCCAGGUAUUUUAGAAGGCUCGAGAAAACCCUAAGUCUCGGGGAUACAAGCCGAGGGUCGAAUGUGUCACGUCCGUUCCAUAGGAACCUCUUGGAUCGACUUUCUUUUAGGCCGUGACACUAUUAUGUAUUGCAUGAUCUUCCUUUCUUAAAGAGAAAUUCGUUUUUCUUUAUUUAGUGUGGAAAAUAAGCUAACUGGUAUCAAAUAUUUUCUAGACAAUGGAUCUAGAUUAUCUAUAAUUUUAGAAUUUUGAGGACAAUUCAACCUACUUAUUAUGAGUGAGCUCACAAAUUAGUAUUAUGCCUUUCCUCUAAUAUUACUUGAAGUGAAUUAGUAUCACAUGCCGGUGUAUAUACUAAUUAUAAUGAUUCUAGAGAAUUCAUAAUCACGCACUAUUAGAAGCCCGUUCACAAACUAUUUGAAAUUUGAACUUAGACCAUAUAAUGAAUUUGAAGCUGGACAUCUAUUGUUGCAAGAAUUCUGCAGCUAGCCAUCUCGUGCCAACAUAUGUCUCCCCAGUAGCUCUCGUGCAUCAUGGGGCCAAAAUCGCAUCAAAGGAUCGCUGCUUUGUCAAAGUUAUUGAAACCUAAAUUACUGAUGACAUAACCAACAAUGGCAUCUUAUUGUAUGUUUUGUAUUCACAAGUCAUCAAAGACAGUUAGGUUUGAUUGUUUGGUAAGGAAAACAAAAUCACAUGCUCUGGGUCAAAAGAAAUGGUCCCCUAUUUUAAGCGACAUCCAAAAGCCUUGAUUCGAAGAAAAAGGAGAACAAUAUAACUCGAUGACAUAAUGUGCGUCAAAACAUGUGCUCUCCAGUCUAGCUCAAACUUCUUGGAGUAUUAGAAAGACCAAGACUUUAUUGGGAAUCAUCAACUUUUUUGUGUGAAAAAUUAAGCACAAGGGAAAAAGUGAUAGUGGGAAAGAAACUUUAAUCAAUUCUAGGAAGACCAAGACUUUACGGGACACAAAUUGGCUUUACUGCUUCACUUUUUACAUCCCUCUUCUUCCAUCCUUAUGUUAAUGUCACUUUUUACAUUACUAGUAGAAUUUCCACACGUUACGUGUCUUCUUAAGAUUAACAAUACUAGAAAUAAGCAUAAGAAGGAAGCCAAGAAGGGACUCCAAAAGAUCUCUCCAAUGAUCAUGGGUUUACCAAUCAUUGAGAGAACAACAAGGGUUCUAGGUUCCAAGUUCCAUAACAUAUAGGGUAGGUUCCAAGUUCUAAAAAAUGAGAAACCUACCCUAACAAAAACCAUUGAGUCCUAAAACAUUAAACAAAGACAGACCAAAGAUUUUUUAAAAAAUAAUAAUAAUAAGUGUAUGGGAAGUCCGAAAACUUAUCAUGAAAGUACUAUUGAAUUUUAAAAUUUUCAAAAGAUACCCUAAAACUUGUCACAAAAAUAUAAUCAAGUCCUAAAAAUUUAAAAAAAUGCAAUCAAUUCCUAAAACUUGUCUUGAAAGUGCAAUUAAAUCUUAAAAUUUUCAAAAAUUGCAAUCAACGAAAGAACUUAAUUGAACCUAUUUGACAUGUUUUAAGAUUUAAUUGCAUUUUUUGAAAAUUUUAAGACUUAAUUCUACUUCAUAGCAAGCUUUUGGGGUUAAUUGUGUUUUUGAAAGUGUUAAAACUCAAUUGCACUUUUGUGGCAAGUUUUAGAACUUAUAAUGCACUUAUCCCUUUUUUUUUUUGCAUCCGUACAUUCUUAGUAGCCUUAUAAUUUCAAUAUCUUCGGUUAUUGUGUUAUUGGUGAAUAUGUGAUCAAUGUAGGCUUUUAUGUGGUAGUUAUAGUGCUAAAGAUUUGCAGCCAAACGGGCAACAAUGAUCUACUAAAGGGUAUUGAGUUAGUGGUUAAUGAUCGAGAACCAUUUGACAGGAGAAUCGUGGUCCUUUGUACAAUUUUCCUAUUCAUAAGCGUGAUGCCUAGCGUAUAUCUAGUACUUUGUUAGUUGGUGAGCCUGACCCUUUUUCUUGUCUAGCAAUGAAUGAAACUGACCACAAUUAAUAGGACUGACAAAUAAGCAUCUUUGUACAACUUGCACCGGCUAAAAUAAAUGUUGACAUUCCAUCUAACAAUUGCAUCUUACUUUUUAUUAUAGAUCCGCAAGUCAUCAAAGACAACUAACUUUGACUAUUCGAUAAGAAGAACAGAAACAAGUGCUUUGGGCCAAACAAGAAAAAGAGUUGGGUAGACCAACGAAUCCAUGAAGCAACUUGCUUAAUUUUUACUUCGGAAAUAGUACACAAUUCACAAAUCAUCAACUAAUCCAUCAAGCAAGUUCUCUUGGGCUAGCUUUUUUUAUUCAAAGGACCACGAUUUUCGUAUCGAGUGAUUCACUAUCAUCAACAACUACUUCAACACCCUCCGACAGACCAUUGCCGCCCACUUUGCUGCAAAUUGCUAGCAUUAUAGCUGCCAUGUAAAAGCCUAUACUAAUUGGCCAUUGCAGGAGAAGAAGGCCAAGAGGAUGAAGAGGAAAAAAAAAGGAAAAGGAAAAAAAAUAAUUAAAAAUUUAAAAAAAUUAUUUAAAAAUUGUCACAUUAGUGUUCGCCAACCGGCAAACAUCCACAUCAGCACUAGUUAGCCAAAAUUGGUCAAAAAGACUAGAUUAGUACCAAUGUAAAAAUAUUUAAGACUAAAUUGGUCCAAUCGAAAAGUUUAAGAUUGAAUUGGUACCAGUGCCACAGGUUUAGGACUUUUUUUGUACUUUUUCCUAUGAAGAAAUAUCACCUAUUAUCCUAUAUUUUGGAUUGCCACAAGAAAAGGUCAUCUCUUUCAAACGAUAGCCAAAAGUCUUGAUUUGAAGAAAAAUGAGAACAAUUGAUUUAUCUAACUCAAGGACACUGUGCAUCAAAACAUGGUCUCUUUGGUCUAAAUUCAAAUUGCUUGCCAUGAUGGCAGAAUGCAAUGAUUCAUCAGGAUUCUAAUGCAAAGCAUAGUGCAUUUGCAUUCACAAUUUGUUUGGGCAUCAAGCAGAGUUCAAGAUAUGAUAUGUCGUCCCACAGUUUAUUGUCCAAUGAAACAGAGCCGAUCCAACCCAAUGAGAACACCCACUCAAAUGUGAGUCUAACCUUUAGUGGCUAGUUUUUGGAAAUUCAUGGGAAACAUUUCCAACGGAAAAAUAUCAAUUUGUAUUACACAUUGAAUUGAGGAAGCGGAAUUGAAAUCAAAACCAAAAACUUACUUGAACCCUAGGAAACUAAUCAUACAUGGAUUCACUAGAGUUUUAAGCAUCGAUCUUUUAGAAUCUCACACCCAUCUAUGCGCAAUUCUCAGAGGGAGGGAGGGAGGGAGCCCAUCCUCUGGCAAGCACCUCAACUUUGGGCAAUCGUGAAGGUGUAAAAAUGUGAGAGGAAAGAUAGUUGCAAAGAAAGCUUGAUAGUCUUCCCACGUUCCUCAUUUUAAAUAUCCAAAGACAAAGAGGAAAGAAAGAGAAGACUCCACACAUCCUCUUCCUCCAAAGGAAACCAUACCUUCUCUCCUUCCCCUCCCAUGCUCAAGUCAAUUAACAGAGACUUGAGGGAUGUGAGCAUGGGUAAGCCCCACUCUCUCACUAUCUGCUUCAAAUUCUCACAUGCUAAAAUUGUAAGGUCCAACAAAUUGAAGCGAACCUCCUUUGGGGAAGCAUUUGAUAUUUUGGCAAUACAUAAUAUACAACAUAUGAAGGGAUACAUGAUGAUGCCACUGAUUUGGUAGAGACUUUAUCUUUGGACAAUUAUAGAGAAAGAAAUAUGACAGGGUGAUGGGAAGGGAAGGGAAGACUCUAUCUCCAAUGUCGAACAGUUACUUAUUUUCAAAAGAGUGAAAUGGGAGAGCAUGUUAAGACAAUGUGGUAGGCUUCCCAAAUUCAAACAGCUAUCAUAGAAUUCGGCAAUUCUACAACGAUCUCUUCCAGCAACUCCACUCCCUCACAAUGCCCAAUAAUAAGUGUCUUGACAGCAGCAAGUUGAGGCAUCGGAUUGCUAGUGAAGUCAUUUGGAGUAAUUGUUAAUAAUCCCACGAGUUUUGGAUACUUCUCAAUUAACAAAUCUUUGAGCGUGUGCAUCUUGCCUCGAAGCUUUUCUAAACUCGCACAAUCUCUCAAUUCCAUUGUUUCGAGGUUGAAAGGCAACUCUAUCUCUCCUUCUUCUGCCACAAAAGACAUGAAUUUAGUACAACUUUGGAUGGAUAAUUCUUGGUGGCAAGUAAGAUUUCGUGUUUCAUUUCCAUCUUGCCACAAGUAUGUUAGCUUGUCACGGCUUCUUAUAUGAAGCUCCUUUAGCUUGACCAAAUAGCUCAUAAUCUCGUGAUUAAAGCAAACAAGCUCUGCAAGAUUUUGAACCCUUACAAUGAUUAAAGAAGUUAUGUUGACCAAGCACUUUAAGAUCCCUCUAUUACAAUCCUUAAGGUAUAACUUGUAGAGAAAUGGAAGACAAACCGCACUAGUUGAAUUUUUCAAAUGUGGGCACAAAUGGAUUUCAAGCUUUAUGAGAUGAUCAAGUUGACAAAGCAAUGUUCCAACCAACGAAUGACAACUCCGAACAACAAGAUGCUAAAGACAGGAGAAUGGUACUUCUUCUUCUGGACCCCCGGCAUAACGAGACCAAUCAUUCCAUGCCAACAUCUCUUCAAACUUCAAAGUUGUUAAGGAUGAGAAAGGCCAUUCACCUCCAUAAAAUGCAAAGUCUAUCAUUCUUACCGCAUGUAGACCAUUAAGACAUAAUUUCUUAAGUAAAGGUAGUUGUCCAAGUUGGGGUAGCGAUAUAACAUUAGGACAGCCCCGUAAGCACAGAGACACUAGCUUACAAUAGAAUGGACCAUCCAACCAUGACGGGAAUAUUGCACCACCAUAAUAUGAGAUGGUGAGAUUUUCAAGAUUAGUGCGAGGUUGCAAAGAGUGAAGCACCUGUGCUUCAUGCUUAUCUUUCCACAGAUUUCCAAAAUCUUCACUCCAAUGCAAGAACAUGUUGCUAAGUCCUUGCUUUCCAAAAAAAAUUAGCAUCAACAGCAUCUCUAGCUUCUCGAACUUUUUGCAAUUCUGAUUUAACUAAUUCUCUUUGACGAUAGGACAAAUUCUUCAACUCCUUUAACUGUAACCCUUUCUUAGUUCCUACAUCGAAGUUAGGCAAGACAAUAAGAUUUUUCAAAUUACCAAUACCGAAAGGCAUCUCAUUUAGACUGUGUGUAUCUCUAAUGUCAAGAAACUAUAAGCUCACCAAUUUUGUGAUACCUAGAGGCAACAUAAAAAGCUUUUGACAACCUCUUAAGAUCAAAGCUUGUAUUUACAUAAGGUGACAAUUGAAUUAGGUAGUCUUUUGAUGUCUGUGUAUGAGAAAUUGAGAUAUCAAAGAUAUUUUAAAUCACCAACACAAUUCGGUACCUCUAUGAUGUCACAAUGACAUAAUGAGACCACCCUCAAGUACUUUAAUUCUAUUAGCAAGUCAUACAACACCUCAUUGGAAAUGUAGAACUUAUUGCCCCCUCUAGAUCCCAUUUGAAGUAGCAUUAAACUUCUUAGUACCUUCAUUCGGUAAGACGCUCUCAAGCAUUUUGAUGUAACAGACCACGACGAGAUGAAUGAUGCAUAACAAGCUUUCACAAGAGAUGCAUUGUCUUCAUUUCCUACUAGCUAAGACUCCCCUGAGCUAAAGCAUGUCCCACCUACAAUUGACUUUGCUAGAUCAUUCAAAAAAUCAUGCAUUGAGAACUUAGAUGCAAUGACACUUGAUUCUUGAAGAAAUGAUCUGCAUACUAACUCAUCGAAGUAAUUCCAUCCUAAUCUCAAGUUAUUCUCCUUUCUUUUUUGUCCAUCUAAAAAGCCCUCCACUAUCCACAAGAGUACUAGCUCAUCCCUCUUAAUUUUGUAAUCCUUGGGAAACAUUGCACAAUAAGCAAAACAUCUCUUCAAAUAACAGGGAAGAUGGACAUAGCUCAAAUUCAAAACUAGGAAAACCUUAUCAUUUUUUCCCACAAGAAUAUCCCACAUUCUAUUAUUUAAGAUAACUUUCCAUUCAUCGAGAUCCCCUUUAUUAUGCAGGAUACCACCUAACACCUUCACUGCCAAGGUGAAACUUUACAUUUUUCAGCUCUUUUCUUGCCUAUUGUAGCUCAAAUUCAAAACUAGGAGAACCUCAUCAUUUUUUCCCAUCAGAAUAUCCCACAUUCUAUUAUUUAAGAUAACUUCCAUUCAUCGAGAUCCCCUUUAUUAUGCAAGAGACCACCUAACACUUUCACUGCCAAGGUGAAACUUUACAUUUUUCAGCUAUUUUCUUGCCUAUUGUUUCAAGAUCAAGGUGCCUCUCAAAAUUUGUUGCCCUAAGAGCAUGAAGCGCUAAUAAGCUUGUACAAUUAUCAAUGGACAACUCCUUCAAAGGAUGGGGCGAAGCUCAUGUUAAGGAAACAACCGAACUAUUUCGAGUCGGGAUGAUGAUCUUGCUUCCCUUAGCCCCCACUUCAAAUGGCUUUAAGAGGGCAGUCCAUUCCCCAUACCCAGACAUCAUCUAAAACCACAAGAAACUUCUUCCCUGAUAGACUAUCCUUCAACUUAACUUGAAGCUAGUUGAGAUCUUUGUCCUUGCAUGACAACUUAGUGAUCAACUGCAAAAUAGCCUUUGUUAUGUUGAGAACAUCAAAAACAUCCGAAACACAAACCCAUGCUCUUCUCUCGAAGUAGCCGCUUGCAUUGGCAUCAUUAUACAGCCGUUGAGCCAAGGCCGUCUUUCCAACACUACCCAUCCCAACUAUGGGGAUUAUGCUCAACAUGGCAUCAGAAUUUUCAACUUCACCAAUCAAUAAUUUGAGUAUCUUCGCUUCUUCCUUCUCUGUGCCAAAAAAACGAGUCUCUGAUAGACAAAUGUUGUGGGGCCUUUUGUUGGUGAAGUCAGUUCUACCCACAACAUUCUCUGUCAAGCUUAGAUAAGCCAUCUUGGCAACAAUGUCCUCCAACCUGCCAUCGAUCUUCUGAACCUUAGUUUUAGACACGAGCAAGCUUGGGUUUGGAUUGGAUCUAGAAGAUUUAUGUUGGCUAAACAAAUAGAACUUCACUCACCUCCACUUGUGCUAGAUUCUACCUCCAACUUGGCCUGAGCAGCUUUGAUGGCAAACUCAUCAAGCAAGUCUUCCAUUUCAUAGGCCAGAUCCCUAAUAUCGUCCAACCAUAGCUUCACUAAACCAUUACCACUCAAGUGCUUGUCCUCUACAUCAUCCAGCACUGCAUUGAUUGUGUCCAGCAUCUUCCCCCAUUUAUUGAGCAAGUCGAUGCUAAUUCCAGAGAAGGGCAAUGCUCCUUCCCUUUGCAUAUAGUCUAGUCCCAAAGAAGCCAGCUUCUUGAAUAGGACCUAAAGGAAGGCACUCAAAAGGAUCUCCCCAAUGGCCAUGGGUGAAUCCGUCAACUGUAGAGAACACAGGUUAUGGUGAAGCAAAGUGACAAUGAGCUAAUGGAGAUAUAAAAUGGGUGAAUGAGUCAUAGUAUAUAACAGCAAGGGUUAUGGUGAAGUGAAGCGAUGGCGAGAAAGACUUUCACCUCCCAAAAACAUUAAACAAAGACCAAGACUUCCAAGGAUACACAUCAAUGGUUAGAGAAAUCAAGGUAAAAUACUUUUUGCCCAAAACUUCUCCUCUCUUAAUGUUUAGAGAUUAUCCCCAGAUAUCUUAUUCGAAGACAAAGACUUUUUGUUACACAUCUACAAGUUAUCAGAGGCAGCUAACUUUGUAUAUUCGAUGAGGAAAACAAAAGCACGCUCUUUGCACUACCAAUUUACAAGUCAGGCACACUAAUUAAUCCAUUAAGCAGCUUGGUUUAUUUUAAUCUGGAAACAGUAAAUGAGUUAAAAAAUCACUAACGAAUAACAUAUAAUCAAUGGAAUAAUAACUAUCUAAGCAUCACAUUAAUGAACAGGAAAGUCGUGUUCAAUCCCUAUGUGGGAACGAAACUUCAAUGAAAUCCAGGAAGACCAGGACUUUGCAGCACGCCAAUUGGGUUUGUUGCUUUGCCUUUCACAUCUCUCCUCUUCCAUCCCUAAGCGAAUAUCUUCUUCUUCUUCUUUUCUAUUGUUUGAUGCUAAAAGUUUAGUUGGUCCAGGAAAAUAAUUUCCACUGAGAGGAAAAGCCAUGCCUCAAAAUUGAGGAGAAUAAUUUCAGAUCAUAAAAUCUAAAAUUGCUGCUUACCCCUCUCACUAUCGCAGACCAAUUUCAUCAUCAUCCGUCUCCUCUCCUCUGCAAACACACGCAAAUGCCACCCUCCCAUUUACACACCAUCAUCAUCCACCGCCGCCAUCGAUCACCAAACAGACCCAAAUCCCCAACCCCAUUGAACCCUCCUUCAAAACCAUUCCCAACCGCAGUAACAAGCACCACCACAGACUCGAUCACCACGACCGCCACCGCCACCGUUCACAGCCAGCAAAAAUUCAGGAAAAAAGAAAAAGAAAGCUAGGGCGGAGGAAAUUUCACCAAUCGGAUGGCCAAGUAAUCGAAAAAUGUGGGUAGGAGGGGCUUCUCGAGCUUUUCAGCCACCUAGUCGCCACCAUUUGACUUUGUAUUCUGUGACUACCAUGGCUGCGGUGUGAAUGAAUGGUGUUUAGCUUUUCACGGUGCCGGGCAGAGAAGAAGGGAUAAAAGAAAGUGGUAAGAAGAAGAAUAGGAGAAUGUUGGACCAAAAAUGUGAAGAAAUAUUUGGUCCAAACCACUUUCCCUGCCCAAAAAGAGAAUGAUAUCUAAUUUUCUAUCCGAACAGCAUAAAAUAAAUUUUUUCAUUUUCAAAUUUCUACCAAAUGCCAAAAAAAAAAAAGCAUUUACUCAAAAAUUAAUUCUAAGAAACUAGUUGAAAAUAUUAAAUUUUCAGUUAAUCAAGCACAGCCCUAGUUAGUUGAUAAUUGCUUUCUUCAAGUAAUAUCAAUAUUAUACUCAUAGGUGUCUAUAUGAAAAAUAACUAAAGACCAUUUUAUACCACUCAAAAUAAUAAUUAGGCCCUAGAACUUUUUUUAAUUCCCUAUUUUUGGCCAAUUGCGAUCAUUAAUACAAAAAUUUCAUAUCCAAUCACAACCAUUUUGGACUCUUCAAGUUCCACUUGAAGUUUGUUUUUUUUUUUUUUUUUGGUUCUAUUCUAUUCUUAUUCUAACUUUCGCUCCUGAAAUUAAUUCUUCCCCACCCCAAUGUCCCAAGAAGGUGGAGAUUCGAACCCUCCACCUCUCCCUUCCAUGUUAGAGGAACGGCCACUGGGAUAAACCUGAGUGGUUUCGCCUGAAAUUUGUUAGUGAGAAGGAAAAUGGGAAUAAAUAAAGAAUUUGUGAUGAGAAAAUCAACUUGUCCCCAUUAAAAAUUAAUUUGUCAUGUAAAUAAACAAUUAUAAGAGUAACUAGACAAACAAAUUGUAUUCAUACUCACACAAAAGCAACCAAAAACCUACGAACAAGACAUAUCAGGAUACUUCCUAUUCCAAGUCUCAUAAAUGGGUGACCCUUUAGAUCAUUUUGUUUUUUUUUCUUGAAUGGCCCUUUUGAUUAUAUUAAUGUAGAAUUAUGGGAGACUAUAGAUGGUGACCUAAUGGUAUAACAUGAUGAUUUCAUAAGUGCUGGGUCACAAAGAUAACCCACUGACAAGGUUAGCGACGUGUAUCUUAUCUUGUCUACAACAGGACCUCAAGUGAUUUGGUGUGCUUCUUGUAACUGGACUUGUCUAUGCAAGAUAAUUCGGUUGCAAGCGGUAUUGGAUGACAACCUUCUCACAGUUCUAUAUUAGAAUACCUUAGGGCAGGCGUAAGCAUUUUUAUGAUAACUCAAUAGAGCCAUAAAGCAUUUAAAAAAAAAAAUCAGGGUAAUAAAGCAUGGUCACCUUGAAUGCUACUCUCCAUCCUUCCUUUACAACAAAGAAAAAGAAAAUGUGGGACUGGGACCGAUAAAACCGUUGGUAUGAGAUUACGUGGGAAUUUAAAUAGAAGAAAGAUGGGUUGUGAACUUUAGAAAGAAGUCAUAUUUAAAUGGAUUAUAAUCUUCAGGCUUAAUUCGAAUUUAGCUAUUAGAUUCGCCAACUCGAGAACCCCUGUUUUUGCAUCUUUAAAGUAGCUACUGUUUAAAAAAAAAAAUAGCUGCCGAUAUUAGAGGUAAGAGAGAUUCUUAGAUUGGCUUUGAAUGUAGACCUCAAUAAUCGACAUCAUCAUAUAGAUUAAUCUUAAUUAGAGCACGUUACCGCCAAAUGUCAACGUUGGACCGUCAGUAGCUGGUUCGUGGAAAUUAAUGUGGAGAAUGGCCAUGGAAAAACAUGAACUUUUUUGCAUUGAGAUGUGGAAGAAAAAUUGAAGUCUGAAUUGUUACUUGAUGUAAAUAAUCAAAUAGCGGAGAGAAAUUUUCUCUUGGGAUCCGAACUCAAUUAAUUUCAAUGAGUGUGAUUCCUUGGAUGAAAUACCAAUAAUCGCUAAUUAGUUUUCAAUUAUUGAUAUUUUGGAAUCUUACAUUGAAUUUUGUGGAAUACUUAAUGGGGGAGGUAGGGGAGCCAUCCUCUCACAAUUACUUCUAAACUUAUAGAUCUCUAUCUUAAUCUAUGAUGUAGGUAUCAAUUUUAAGUUUUUGAAAUCUAAACUUAUCUCACGAGCAUUUUGAAGUUGCUUAAAAUCUGUCGGUUUUAUGAGUUUCAAGCUACCCUUUACUACCUCACUAAAAAUGGAUCGUAAAAUGGAUUUUCAAUUAAGUAAGCUAAAAAAUCUAAAAAGAAAACUCAAAGUUUUGUUUUAUUCUAAAUAAUUUCACCACUGUUUUUGAGCAUCUUCAAAGAAGAUCAGAUAUAUAUCCUUUUAUAUUUGUGGGCACACAAAAAUAAAACUAGUAUCGGUAAAAGAUAAAUUAUACUUUCUCUUUUUAUUUUUGAUAGGAUUUGCACGGAUUCAAAAUCAUAAAUGCUAAUAUUGUAUCUCGAAUUUGACCUCAAAAAAGAAAUCUAAUCCAAAUAAACUUUCUGAUUUGAGUGGAUUUUAUAAAAGGGAAAUAAUUUUUAUGUACAAAGUGGGUCUUCUUCAAGAAAAAUAUCCAAGACUAGCUUUUUGUACAAUCAAUUACGUAUUACAUUCCUAAGGAAUUAAGUGUACUGAAGCAAAUUAAUUUUGUGGUAAGAUCUGUGCAUAAUAUCACAAGAGGAGGAGGAGGACAGUUCACUCCAAUUCCAACCAACCAAAACCCCACGAAACUGGGAGACAACAAAAUAAAAUAAAAACAGAAGCCAUCGGAAUUUUCGAGGAAAUUAAAGUUGAAACCUUUUAUCUCUAUUUUAAUGGCAAUCCUUACAACCCUCUCCUUCUCCGAACUGCCCUCCCCGAAGAUCCCACCUUUCUCCUCCAUCUCCCGCUCCCCUGCUCUCCUCAUCUCGUCCCGCAUUCGCAGGAACUCGUCCAACCUCGUCGCCCGGCACCGGAGGCAAGCCCGCCGGAAGAACCCGCCGGAGCAGCCGCGGCCGCCGCCGGGUAACGACAUGUCCACCGCCGUCCAGAUGCCGGCGGCCCCUCGCCGGUGGGAGGAGGAUCAUGACCGGUUGCUGAAUUAUAUGGGUAAAUUUCAUUGCGUCGAUUUUUUCUUACCCAAUGAUUGUUUUCGCCAAUUUACCCCAAUCGUGGACGCAUUUGUUUUAUCCUUGAGGAAUUUAUGGUGUUUGAUUGAGCGUAGGUGGAAGAUGAUGCUUGAAUUUCGGAUGUUUGUUUGGUAACCAAUUAUGGGUUUUGCUUAUUUGGGUUUAUGUUGGUCUGAAGGACUUGUGAGUCUGCUUGACGUGACGGUGGCAACGAAGUUAUUGUGGGUUUAACUGGUUAAGUGGUGGUGGGUAUAAUUCAAUUCAUGCUGCGGUAGAUUGGUCCUCUUGGCCGAUCAUCUUUGCUCGUGCUCAUCUCUGAUUCAAGUUGAGCUGAUCUGUUACCCGUCUGGUCUAGUUGAAGUUGCUCAAGUAGAGAUGAAAGUGUUCUUUGAGCAUUGUAAAAUACCGUUCGAGUGAAGUGAAACCUGCUGAAAUAUCGAUUUUAUGGGCAAAUAUGUGCUGCUUCUUGGUUGUGUGGAGAAUGCAAGCGCAUCAUCUCAACUGCUCAAUCUUUUCGAACAUGAAAAAUGUGUCGGCCUGUGAAGUGAUGGAGCUUCACAACUUACGUUGGAAGUGGACUCCUCUGUGAAGGGUCACUGACCUGAAGUGGCUUUUUUCCUCGUUAUUCAUUUUGGCAGCUGUCGAAUUCUAGUCAGGAACAUAAUUAGCUUGUUGCAAUCAUUUCUCAAACAUUAUCCAUAAAAGUGUGAUGCUGCUUCCCUAAUGCCACUACUGCUCUGAUGCUGUUUUUUCCUUAUCUGUUUCCGUCGGUAAUUCAGGGGCAGGAAAUGGGGAUACGUUGACAGCGAAUGAUGACAAAGAAACAAGCACUUCCAGUAGAAAUGUUCUUCGCAAGAAAAAAAGCUAUACAAGUUCUAUAAAGUUUUUUGGGGUCGACUUGUCCCCAGACAAUAUUGCUGUUGCGAUGGUUUAUUUUGUUCAAGGUGUCUUGGGGCUUGCAAGACUCGCUGUCAGUUUUUAUUUGAAAGAUGAUUUGCAUCUAGAUCCUGCAGAGGUAUGUCAUUGUUCUUUUAGGAUUCUUAACGAAAAAUUAGAUUUCCUUUGAGAACAUUCAAUUCGUAUGUUCCAGCAGUAUGAAGAGAGAAAGUUGUGAGUUUCCUCUGAUAGUCUAUACCUCUGUGCUUUCCUUAAGACUUAGGAAGAUUUUCUUGUCUGUUAUGGGCUCUGUUAGUCUUGACUUGGCCAAAUCAUUAGCAAAUAUAUAACUGCUUCUUAAUAGCAAGGAACACCUUUUUAAGCAGCUAAUCAGCUUCCAUUUGUUCUGAUACUUAUGAGGACUAAUACUCUGUUUGCGGUUGACUAGACAGCUGUGAUAUCUGGUUUUUCUGCAUUGCCAUGGCUCGUAAAACCUCUAUAUGGGUUUAUUAGGUACAUUUUCUCUUUUAAUCUUGUUUUAACCGCAUUUGUUUCUCAUAAGAAUUGCAUCUAUUUUUAAUUCUAGAAAAAAUGUUCACACACUGGAUUGUUGUUGCAGUGACUCUGUCCCACUUUUUGGUUACCGAAGAAGAUCAUACUUGGUUUUAUCAGGGCUUCUCGGAGCACUUUCAUGGAGUUUAAUGGCCACCUUUGUUGAUAGCAAAUACGGUGCAGCAUUUUGCAUACUGCUUGGAUCUCUCUCUGUUGCCUUCUCUGAUGUUGUAUGUAUCCACCCUUAAUUCCAUACUUCCACAGAAAUUUUGUUUUUUGGCCUCCAGAAAUAACUUUCUGUGUAGAUGCCUAUGAUUUUCUAUGACGGCUGAAAAUGAUAAAUUAGCAAAAGAAAUGGUUUAAUGCCAGACGUAGGACUCUGGAAACUGGGUAUCUCUGGAUAUUGGCGGUUGAAUUCAUACGAUUUUAUGAGAAUCUAGCGAUUGGUUGCAGGAUGCCUUAAUAUUUUUUCCUUUUUCUGAGCAUGAAAGGGCUACACGGCUAAUCCAAGAAUCUCUUUUCUUAGCUACUUGCACAAAGGGAAAUUACACUGCAUUGAGAUUAGACAACGCAUAUUGCUAGCAUGUACUUAACCUCUUUUUCAUGCGAAACUAUAGUGGAGUUGAGUUGUAACGGAAUGAGCAAGUAUGCUGGGCUUAAAUUGAACCUCCUUGUUCAUAAAAAAGGUCAUGUCUUGACCAGCUUUCUCAUAGCAUAAUCUGUCAGAUUUGUUUCCACUUUCUUGUCACUCUUACUAUUUGGGUUUUCCACCUGAAUGUUCACAAUCGAAUCUAUCUUAAGGAGAUAAUUAGCUUUAAGUUGAAUAUUUGCCAGUGUUGUUUCCUCUGGAUACAUACAAAUCAUGCCAAAUAUUGAAGUAUGCUGUAGGUUGUGGAUUCCAUGGUUGUGGAGAGGGCCCGUGGUGAAUCACAAAGCAUGGCUGGAUCCCUUCAGUCCUUAUGCUGGGGAUCGUCAGCUUUUGGUGGAAUUGUGAGCUCUUACUUUAGUGGGUCCCUUGUGGACUUAUAUGGAGUGAGGUGCUCAUUUUGAAUUUUUCAUUUGUUGGCAAACUAAUAUUGAUCUUUGCUCUGGUUGCACUUCAAGCAACCUUCGCAACUUCUAAAAAACUGAAUUUUCCCAUGUCAAUCUCGUGUCCCAGGUUUGUAUUUGGUCUUACAGCCCUGCUUCCUCUGAUAACAUCUGCAGUAGCUGUUCUUGUUAAAGAGCAGCCAGUGGUUGGUUCAGUAAGAGGACUGAAACAGAAUCUUCCUCUUGCCGACGCUGGCUUUCUGGAAAAGUCAAAAGAGGAUAUUAUAAAGCUUUGGGGUGCGGUGAAGCAACCCAAUGUACUUCUCCCCACAUUAUUCAUCUUUCUUUGGCAGGCUACACCACAAUCAGAUUCUGCUAUGUUUUACUUCACGUAAGUUCAGAAGUGAUUGGUCUUUUUGAUUCCAACACUGCUUUCUAGACGAAGGAGGAUUCUCAUAUAAUGGCAAUUUUGAUAACAUUUUUGUGAAUUCAGCACAAACAAACUUGGUUUCACUCCGGAGUUUCUUGGACGAGUCAAACUUGUCACUUCUGUUGCAUCACUUCUUGGUGUUGGACUCUAUAAUGGAUUUCUGAAAAAGGUUCCACUACGGAAGAUCUUUGUUGUGACAACAGUAUUCGGAUCAGUGCUGGGAAUGACACAGGCAAGUGUCAUGCUUGUUUUUAGUUAAGAUUAAGCUGCCCUGAUUCCCAGGCUUGUUGCAUCACUUGCUUUCUUUCUUUGUUAGGUUUUCCUUGUGACUGGCUUAAACCGUCAAUUUGGUAUAAGUGAUGAAUGGUUUGCAAUUGGCGACUCCUUAAUAUUGACCGUUCUGGGCCAGGUAAUUAGUUUCUAAUAUAUUCAAUUAUGCUGGUGUAUCUUAAUCAUGCACCAUUUCCGCACAACCCAGUGCACUUAGCCCAUAAAUAAUUGUGUGCUAGGUCAGUCAGACUAGAAAUACAGGUGUCAACCACAUAUGUUGUCCUUGGUGCUGGUCUAUUGCUCUAAAAUGGGGACUAUGAUAUAGGCUAAUUAGUAUAAUGUUUUAUAUGAAGGUCCAUGGACAUGAACAUAAGAAAUUAUCAUGAUGCUAGUCAGAGAAUUUGCAGUUUUGGGAUAUUCUCUUUUCAGUGAAAAAUGGAAUUCAUUCAUUACUUUUUCAAAUUUUUAUUAUGAAAGUUGUUGAAUUAUAGGGCCAAAUACGUUUCUUGAGAUUUCUAGGGCCAAUAUGUAGCAUUCUAACAUAUCUCUCAAAUCCAUAUUAUGUCAUUUCGAUAUUGGAAGUGCCUCCAAUAGAAGACUUGGGUUGUAAGAUCACUUAUUUGUACAUAUUUGUGCAGGGCAACCAGAUUUUUGUGACUAAAAUGUCCUAAUAUGGGGCACAAACACUGUUUCCUCUUGUAUCUUGUGCUGCUUCUGAGCUUUGUUUUCUUUGUUAGAUUAUUGUACAACCUUCUAGUAUGAAUCUUCCAAUGUGAGACUUCCAUGUGACAGCAUCAGCUGUCAUGCUACAAUCGAAGGAAUAUGUGUUAAUUUAAUUGCUUUCACACCAGUGCAUUAUUCUCAUCCUCUGGUGCUGACUGCUGACUUAACGAACUAGUGAUUUAUCCUACUGAGUCACUAGAUAAGAGAACACACUUUAAAUAUGGAAAACAGGAAAAGGAAUUACUAUUAGGCGGAAGUUUUUUUUUUUUUUUUUUUUUGAGGGGGGGUGGGGGGGUGGAUGACAAAUUUUCUCAUAUAACAUGAUUAUAAUGUUUACAUUGUAAAUUACUAUUUUGUCCAUUGUUUGAUAAUAUGUAAUCAGUGUUUGUUUUCUUAGAAUGCAUGGGUAUAUUGUGGAAUUUUUUAGGAAAAAGUUUGAGGUUUAAGGCUCCUUUCGGGUUUGCUUUAAUAUAUAGAGAUUGGAGAGAUUAUUUAACCCCUUAUUUUUGCAUUGUAGGCUUCUUUCAUGCCUGUCCUUGUCCUGGCGGCAAGACUAUGUCCAGAGGGAAUGGAAGCUACAUUGUUUGCUACUCUCAUGUCCAUAUCCAAUGCGGGGAGCGUGUUAGGUGGGCUUAUUGGUGCUGGGCUGACACAGCUCUUUGGUAUCACCAAGGACAGGUUUGACAAUUUGGUCUUUUUGAUAGUGCUGUGCAAUCUCAGCUCGUUGUUGCCCUUGCCUCUCCUAGGCCUCCUUCCGCAGGAUGAUUUUGACACGACCUUGAGCGAGGAUGAAGAUAUUGAGAUGAAGUCCAACUGAGUGGUUUGUGCCAAUAAGUUUUUCUAGUUUGGGCACAGUCUCUCUUAGAUUAUUCACCUUACUGUAGAAUAUGCACACACAGAGAGAGAGAGAGAGAGAGAGAGAGAGGAUCACAAGUAUCCGCAGUCAAGGGCAAGUUGGCUGGAACUACAGCUACCGCUCAUUCCAAUCUGUAGUUGUGAAGCCACUCGUCCUCCAAAUGCAGCUGACUUUUUCAAAAUCUGGGUCUAACUGUAGUAAGUGGAUUGCAAGGUUCUAUUAGGCCCAAACUCUCAUAUAUUCAACGUCUCAGCAGCAGGUGCUUGAAGUAAAAUACUGGGCGAGUUCACCUCAUGCAGUAAGAAAGCAUGACACUUUUCACUACAGAAUUGUGUGCGCUAAAUCGAUGCAGCUUUCAGAUUUUCAACUUGCAAAAUAUGCCGUUCACAGUGCAUAUUCUUCUAUAAUAGGAAAGUUUCAGAUUUUGGAACAAUUAGGUUCGCAAUCAAUUUGUCUCAUUGCAGUAUGAUAUUGUCUCAUUGCCUAUGCUUUGAACUGCUGAGUCCUCGAAUGUACGCUUAACAGAUAGAACAGGUAAAAUAUCAGUCAUUUUUCUUAGGAAUAGAGAGAACGUGGAAACCAUUGGUAGCUGGGGAAAUAGUGGGAACAGAAGCUUUUAGCUUCUGGAAAAUCAUGGUUUAGACUUCAAACAGUCAUACUUCUCUAUGAAAUGACGUUGCCAGCCAAUUUGAGCGGUCCGAGAGUGGUAAAAAUCUCUCUUGAUUUCAGUCACAUGAGAUUCAGAGCCAGAGUCAAUUUGAAUAUAAAAGGAGGCAUCGGUUUUUCCUUUUCCAUUUCCAAUUCUCCUAAUAACCCUCAUCAUUUCUCACUACCUACCGUUGAUUCUCUAAGGAUGUAGAGAACUUCGUUGAAUUUCUCAGACAUAUGAGCGUUAUAAUUGCUUCAAAUGUCUUAUGGAGUCGAUGAGAAAAUCUUGGAUUUAGCACAAACUUAUUGCUUGAACUAGUGAGGAAAGAGGAAGGGAAUCUACUCAAUUUGAAUACUUUUUACCUUCAUACAACAGCGAAAGCAUAACAGUGCAUUGCGAGCUGGAGAAAUUCGUUCUCUUCAGUGAGACGUAGGAUCUCUGUAAACAUAGGCCCAACUAAUCAACAACAACAUUACGUGUCGAAAAUGGGAUUCGAUACUGGAAACUAUCUACCUGGGACCUCACCGUGAAUUGCAUAAACUCGCUGUCAAGCUGGAAAUAGUGAUCCGAUGUUGUUCCCUUGAGAUGGGCAAUGGGAAGAACCCCGGUCCAUUCUUGUCUCUAUUGACUGAAGUUGCCCGGACGUGUCGUAUAACCUCGUGCCGAAGUUGGACCUCAUGCGUAUGAAAUCCAAGCGAGCUACCUAUUCAUCUUCUCAACCUCGAUCUGAGAAACACAUGAAGGACGAGGUUGUGGUCUAACGAUCCAAGGAAACCUGGAGUCAAAAAAGAAAUGGGUCGACAUUUUCCCUCGAGGAGUUUAAUGUCUCCUCAAUCGCACAAUCAACGACUUCUGCAGAGCUUAUAAUCGCUACCAGUCGUUAUGGAAAGAACUGAUGGGGAGAUAAUGGGAAGAAUCUCACGUAAAUCAAGCCCAAAAAUUACUUCUAUUAUUACUGAUUAUAGAGAGGAAUAAUGGGAGAUGGAGCAGAGAAUUUGUAACGUAUUAUCUCAUGGAAAGUUCCUUUGAAAACUGAUGUGUGAAUCUUCUAAAAUUUUGAUAUUUGUUUUUCCCAACAAAAAGUGAGACAAGCUCACACGCAUUUGCCUUAAUUUAAGUUUACAUGAAUAUAAGUAUGGAUAUAAAUGUAGUUAUAGAUAUAUUCGCGGUCUAAAGAAGUUCAUGUGGGUGUGCAUCAUAAUUUGUCACUAAUGUCAAUAAUAAUGUUGUUGUCAAACAGCUAAAAUAUAUUAUUCAAUAAAUAGACCGAGGAACUUCAUCCUUCGGAUCAUGGUGGGUGAUACCAACAGCCAGAAGAAGAAAUGGGCCCCAAUUGAGAAGUUAAAAAAUUAAGAAUGGGUCUUCCUAAUAAAAAUAUAUAAUUAGGUCUUCAUUUGUUUUGCGAAAAAUAAAUAAUUUGAUUUCUUUUUUUUGAAAAUGAUUGUUUGUAUAAUUGAAGUAAUCAACAAUUUAUGUUUAAAUAUUUUCGUGGCCAAUGAAAAUAUUUUUUAUUUAUAUUUUUAAAAAUGUGUUCUCGGCAUUAUUCUUUUUUUACGAAAUAAACAAUAUUUUCAGAUCCUGUAAAAGCCCAUUUCUGCAACAUAUUGGGGCCUUCCUUUCGUUUUUCUUCGAAGGCACCAUGCAACUGGGUUCAGUCCUUAUUUAGGAACGCCGCAUGAGGGUGAUAUGAACACGUUGUACUUUUUAAAUUUCUACCGAGUUUAGUAGGAAUGUCGGUUUUGCCUCCUUUCUAUUUUUAUUAUUAACUUCGGGACAUGAACACUAGACCUCGAAAAAGUGAACCCGAGCCCAAUAACCACUCUAAAAAUAGUGUAUUUUUGUUUUUCUUUUCUCCCCCAUGCUAAGCCGGAGCUAACAAUAAUUUACGUUGAUUUGUAGUCCACAAGCUCCAUCUCUUAUUAUACUUAUAUUUUCAAAAAGGAUAAACGAAAAAUAUCUCAAAUUUAAAUUUAAGGAACUAGUUUAUUUAACUCAAUCAAAUUUAUCUAACUAAUAAUGAAAAGAAUGAUAUGAUUCAUCUAAAUUAGCAAAAUUUAUCCACAAAAAAUGUAUAUUCUAGAUAAUACAAUUUUGGAUGAUCCUGCUUAAUAAUAUGUGACAAAACCAAUGUACUCUGGGCAAAUGAUUUAAUUGCGUUAGUAAAUUUGAGUGGAAAUUAGUCAACGAUACUCUGAAUAAACAUCAAACUAAAUUGAGACUUGAAUUGGUUUGAUUGCAAAUUGGAACAAAAUGAGCACCUACAAGGUCUCUUUCUACAUUUGUUUUUUUUUUUUUUGGUAAGAAGUAAGAAGUAUAUUGACUUUUGAACCAAGAGCUACACAGCUGUACAGUAAGGGAUCCGGCACCAAAAAACUUGCACUCAAAAGAACACGGGCGUCAAAUUGAGUGGAAGGGUGCCAAGGAAAAGCUGCAAACAGAGGAUAAGGCAAACAACACAAGCAGCAAAGAGGCCAUCUUUCUACAUUUGUUGAUGAGCAACAAAAUUAAUAAUAAUAUAUCCAAAGAACAGUCCACGUAUUGCCCACUUGACAAGUCCAUAAAUGUGCAAAGCCAAGUCCAUGGCGUUCACAAACUCAUGAGUCAUUCACAAUAGCCCAAUUUUUCAGGAUACCUGUCUCCUGUGGACGAUUCAUUGGACAACAUCACGUGGUGGGUCCUCCGACUUAUCCAUUGUCUUGUCCAUUCUCUCCAAUCCCAACUUCUUCUCUGCAUACCAAAAUUAAUUUUUUUAGGGACUGAACUGAACAUGACUUCAAAAACUUCAACAUUUGAUCCGCAAGGGGCUCACUAAAGGCCAAACUUCCCAUGAUGGCAUGUUCAAGCUUCCUUAGCUUCCUUACAUACCUCAUGUGCCAAUGAGCCUUUGAGGUUAGGUUCGUGCUUUGGUUAUUUGUCCUAUCUGUCUUCAAUUUUCUUAUCUUUGUUUUGUUUAUUGAAGACCUGCUCACAUAAAUGUUGGGUAACUAUAAAACCUGUCGGACAAUAAAUAGUUAGGUGGUUUCAUCUUAUGCUUCAUCAUCAUCUUUCUAACCAAUUAUCAAGUGUUAGGAACCAAAGACAGUUCCUCGAGAGCUUGUAAAAGCGCCGUAUCUUUAUCGAGGACAAUACAUUGGAUCCAGUAAUCACCUUUUAAAUUGUAGUUGAGCCUAACGAGCAGGUGAUCUAGAGACACCGAGAUUGGUAUACUAAAUGGGUCGACUAAGUGGCGAUUUGACAAAUUGUGAAUCAUCAUUUAAACCGAUGCACCCAUCUAAGCAUCUAACGGUGAUUUGUCGUAUCAUUUAAUAAUUUAAUUCAAUUUGUCGGUCUUAGUAUCUCCAGCAUUGUUCUUAGUACUUGAAUAAAUUUUUCUCAUGAGAAAGGCGUGCAUUCAUGCACACACAUGAUAGGCUAGUAUAGAUUGGUUUUGCAUGGAGAAGAUUACAGAGAUACUGACCACUGCAGAAACUUUUCUUUGUUUUCCAUAUAUAGAUCAGACCUAGACUUCCAGGAAAUCUCCAAAUAUUUUUACGAGUAUCUCAUGUAAUUUUUGUUAGAGCUAUCUUAAAUGAUUUCACAAAGGUAAAAUCCUCCAAAGCUCACAUGCAAUGCUCUUACUUGCCUCCAAGGCUUUUUUCGUUUUAUAGAAAACUUCUUGGAAAACGUUUUCCGAUUUUUUCAAUGUUGUUUUAUGGAAAAUAAACUAGUUAAAGAAAAUGAUUUUCGUUAUUGAAAAAAACACCUUCGAAAGUGAGGAAGUUUUUUUUCACUUCUCAAAAGUAGAAAACAUUUUUCAUAACUUCUUCCAACUCAUUUUCUUUUACCAUACCAAUUUUCAUUUUAUUUUUAUUUUAUCUAUUUCUUUUUUCUUUUUCGUUUUAAAUUGCAUUUUAAUUUUAAUUUUCCUUUGUUUUUUUCUUUAUUUCUUUCCUUUUCUUCCUCUUCCUUGGCCUUGGCCGGUUGACCGAAAGAAAAGGAGAAAAAAGGAAAAAAGAAAAUAAUUAAUAAUAAUAAUAAUAAUAAUAAUAAUAAUAAUGAUGAUGAAUUAAAAAUAAUGGUGGAAAUUUUUUCUUUACCGAAUAGUGAAAAAUAUGGUUAUUUUCUUGGAAAAUGGCUUUUUAAAAAAUUUUCCAGAAACACUAUAUUUUCCGUAAAAUGAACGGAGCCUAAAUGUAUUAUGUCACAAUCUCAUUAUAAAUAACUAGUUAUUAAAAUAUAUUUUCACCAUUGAUAACAAGUUAUAUAUAAAAAAUUUCGUGAAUUAUGAAAAUAUUUUUGGUUGAUUUAUUUUUAUAAGUAAUACAGGCGAUAAUAUUUUCUAAAUCAUUUAUUUUUUCUAGAACAAAUGCAUUCUAAGCAUAAUACGUCAUAAUCAUAUAUGAAUAUACACUCCUCGUCUUUUGGCAUUUCAGAUUCUCUCCUCUCUCCUCUCUCCUUUUCGUUUCUGAUUUUCGCAGUGCAUUCAACUCUUUCCAGCAUGGGCCCUUUGAUAGAGUUCGCAACGUUUAUCCAAUACAAUUCCAUAUUCAAUCAUGAUAUAUAGAUAUAGUACCCAAAUAUGUAUGUAGCAAAUUAUUUCGCACUUAGGGUUUCAUGGGUCGAGGCCAAAAUAUCACCCUUCCAAGAAGAUUUAAUGUGGUGGGAGUUGGAAGUUGAAAUGGGUGGUUGAGUUUCAAAUGAUUGAGCCAAUUUUUAAAACAUAAAGUUCAAGCACUAGAGAAUUCAAUAACUUCCAAACCGGUCCACAGAAUCACAAAAGUGGAAUCCAUAAACCGCUGUCCCAAUGGGGGCCAAAGAGAAGUAGGGUUUGGCCAAGAAAAUGUUUAAGAAAUUGGUGGACGGCCAGUUUGGAAAAGAGAACAAUUGGAAUACCCAUUCAAUGUGUUUAGGUUAGACUGAUAUGGUAGCACAUGGAUCGGACUUAAGUUUCAAGCAAAAAGUAGUCAGAAGAUCGGUGAUGGUUCUCCCAAUGGAAAAUAGAAGUUAGUAAUAAUAUUUGUUCUAAGUACCUUUUCAAAUAAAUGGUGCAUUUAUUUUGUGAAAAAUAAAUAGUUUAAAAAGAAAAUAAAAAUAAUCAUUAGUAUUGUUUAAGAAAUUAAAUGAAAAGUAUUUCGUUGUUAAAAAAAAUUAGACAUAAAUUAUUGUUAAUAAUGAAAAUAUUUUUCAUCGACUAAUUAUUUUAAACGAUACAAGCAAUCAGUCUUGGGAAACUAUUUUUCAAAUUUUUCAUUUUUCACAAAAUCAAUGGAGUCAAAAUAAAUUGGAAUGACAACAGGUUAGACUAAUCAGAUUCCCCAAGAUAAUCGAAUUCCGACUAUGGGUCUAUAGUUAUUGUUAUCACUUCGGCUUCAGAACGGAGAGGUGAUAUCUAUAUGUUGUAGUUACCAUUACAACUAUCCAAUUUGACUUAACAAUAGAUAAAUUGUUAGUAUAACCUUAUUUUUUGCAAUUUGUAUUUUUUAGAUCUUUAAAGUUUUUGAGUGAUUUUAAAGUCAAGGUUCAAUUGACAUGGUUAAUGGGACAGGCUUCAAUGUCGACGAGGCAUCACUUAACGUUCGAUUCCUGUUUCAACUACCCAUUCUACCUAAAGUAGGAUUUCCGGUCAUGCUUGAGCAUUCAUGAUAUGCUAAAAAUUUCUCAGGUUAAGGACAAUCUCUAUUUCUAAAUUCAGUUAUUAUUAUUUUAUUUUUAUUUUUUCUGGGGAUGAUGUUCAUAUCCUAUAGGAGGCAAAGUGGAUAUAGAUGAUAGUUGAAGAUGAGCUUUCAUUUUUUCUUUACGUGGGAUAUCCGAAUCUUUCGACUCAAUUAAUCUUUAUAGAUGUAUGUAAAUCACCUCACUCGCAUGCAUUGCGUAAGACUUCUUGCACAGGGGUGACCAUCAUUUCUAAAAUCACUCUAAGUGUAGAAUACCACGGUUCGAAAUAAAAUUUUCCAUUUCCAAAUGAAAUGUCAAAUCACUCGAUCCAAUCCUUAUGAUGGUUAGGGCGAGCUUCCCCUAUUCAAUUCGGUGCGGCUAUAAAUAUCUAGAGCGUUCCUCAUUCCCAUGAACACAACACAUUUUCAAUCGGCAAAUUGACAAAUGAUUGAUUGCAAGCAAGAGAAGAUAUGGAGGAGGGGAAGAGGCAGUUAGAUGAGUACAGAGGAAGAUCCUUAAAUGAGAGUCAAGAGUUAAAGUGGAUGCAUGUGGGAAGCCAUGUGAAGGCUUUAUUUUAUGAUGACAACUCCAAUUUUUUUUUUCUUUUUCCUUUUGCUAAUUCAGUUAUUAAUAUUUUAUGUUCUUUUUUCAUUACAUUUCAUAUGAUGACGGGAGAAACAGACAAGGCCCCAUGUGAGAAAUCAUUGACCCUGUGCACGAUCAGGGCGUGGAGCCAAUCCUAUUGAGGGUGUGAUAUGAUAGCUGAAGAAAAAGUAUAUAUUAUAUAGCAAAUUUAUUUGGAUAAUAUUCGCAUUAUAUGUGUAAAUAUAUACGUGCGGCUGACCAAACUCAUAUAGAAAAACUAUUGAGAUACAUGCGAAUUAUGUAAUAAAUUAUUUGAUCCCGAUGGCUUGGCUGAGACUGCCAAGCCAAGCGCCCUUCUGGCUAGAAGCCACAAAAUAUACACUCAACCCAAGUGUGCAUCUAUCUUAGAGGUAACAUUCUACCUUUGGUCCCUUACUCUGCACAUGUUUUUGAAUCAAGUCCUUAAACUUUUACUUUAUCUAAUUAAUUUUUUCAACUUGCAUGAGUUUUGUAAAUAAAAUCCUUCGAUUCCGAAUUUGGUCAGUUCAUGUUGAUGAGUCUAUUGGAGCUAGUAAGAGCAACUAGCCAGUUUGAGCGGAAUAUUUCUAUUGAUAACUCUCAUUACUCAAGAUCCGGUUGAGAUCUUCAUUUUCAAAUUUUCACUUCCACAUUUUAAUUUCAAAACGUUUUGUUUGGUAAAUAAGAAUGAAAUAAGGAAUUCAAGUUUCUUAAUGUGUGAAAUUGCACUCUCUCCACGAAUUUGACAAUUUUUAUUAGAUUAUCAGUGAUUCUUUUUCUAAUAACAAUGGAACAAUGGGAGAAAGGCCUAUAUUAUGUCAUCCUCCAACCAAGCGUUUGAUUAAUGGGUUAUAAAUGUCAACAUUUUCCACAUGCAAAACUUCGGCCUGUGCUUGCUUCAACCGAUCAAAACUUCCUCCAAUCAGGGAUAAAGAAAAAACAUCACAUUAGGAUAAUGUUACAACGUCGACUUGCCAAUUAUACAAUACAUACUUCCACAAGCAACUCAUGAAUGGAAUGACUUUGUAAACUUAUCUCUUGCAGUACUUUACAAAAUUGAACAAACUACUUAUAUAAUAGGCCGUCCUCUUUAUGAGUUUGGAUCCUAUCAAUUAACUCUCUUUUGAGAUUGUGACACGUCACCACUUUUUUUUUUUUUUUUUGGGAAGAUAAGGUCUUUUUGAAAAUAUAAGGUCUACAUAUUCUUAUAUCAUGUUUUUAUAUUGCAAGGAUGAGUGAAUUUAUCCUCUGCUAAUUAAGAAAGGUAGAUAUCCUUAAUUUAUCAUAUAAAUUUAGUGGAGUAAAUGGUCAUGUUCUAAUUAUCAACCCGAGACAAGACUUUGCCCUAUUUUAAGAAAAAGAAUAACGAUAAAGAAAAUUGCUGGUGGAGAAGAUGUGAAUCCAAAUUGAUGGUGCAGCUUAGGCUUUUGUAUGAGUUUGAGUCUCAAGAGGGACAGAGUUUGCUGUUGGAGACCACAAAGAAAGAGACAUGAAAUGUUCCUGUGGCCACUGGAAAUGUGGGAGAUCUACCGGACAAGCACAAGCACUCACAUGUAGGAAAAUUGCCUCUUGAUGAUGACAAUUACUCUUUUAUAAGAAAACAUGGGUGUGUGUUUGCGGGGUUUCUUCAAGUUGAACACACGAAAGAACCCACAUGCUAGGGCACUUCUUGGUUUUCGUGGACCCAUUUGAUGGCCAAUCAAUAGUUUGGAGAGAAGAUUGUGAUUGUACCUGCUUGUUUGGUCUGGAGAAAUAGAGGAGGAAAGGGAGAGAGGGGGGGGGGGGGGGGGUGUGGUUCAUGUUAUUUUGAAGAGAGGGAAAGAAAAUCCAAUUUCAACUUCUAUCAUUGUGCAUGAGGAGGUGCAUGUAAUGAAGUCAAAUAAGACUAGAAAAGAAGAACUUUAGAAGAACUUUAGGUCCCAUCAUAAGGUAUGUCCAAUUCGACCCAUGUGCUCACGAUUUUGUCCUAAAAAGGGCCAUAGUGAAAGAGAAGAGGAGCCCCAAUAGCCAUAGUCAUCGUUGAUUCUCAAUUAACAUGGAAUUUGAUUCUCUUAAGUCUCCUUUUUUCCCCUUUAUUGCAAUUGAGUCUUUUUGUUAAACUUGUAGCAUCAGUUUCUUCUAUUAUCUACUUCUGGUAACUAUGAUAAAUUUUUAAUUUUAUAAAAUUAUUAAAAAAGUAUCAUUCCUUGUUGACAUGGCAUGUGGUUUCCUAGACAUAAAAGGUUUCAGUUUUGGGGGAAGGGAGUUCAUCAUAGAGUUGAUUACCUUGGGCUAAUGUGAGGGUUGUGACCAUCCCCUAGCCACUACUUUUGAGGGCCAACUGAUAAGCAUGCACUAGUUCUAAGUCUAAUUGGCCAACUCUUAUUAAUUAUGGAGAAGCAAGUUUUGUAUACGCUCGGCGUAUAUGAACUCACUUCAUCUUAAUCAUUAGAUAGUCUUAGUUCCAAGAGGAAUCUACACAAUUUAACAAUUGAAAUGCACUGAACUCUCGUGCAUUGACUGCAUGUAGAAACUUUUUGCCGUGGAGAGGCUCCUUCUCUUUCUUCUGCCCCUGACUUUGGCAGUGCUCCAAGAGCGAAUUGAUGAAGUUGUCGCAGACAAGUCACAGAAGGAUUCAAUUGCGUAAAUUAAUGAGUCAAAAGACCUGAUACCACAUAGAAGGUUCAGAUGAUCAAGUUGCUCCGAUAAUAACUAAGAUUUCAAGCAUUGAAACCGUUUUUUAUUAACCUUUAUUUUUAAACGAAGCACUAACCGCAAAAGGGAGAAAAUCCCAGAUAAUCUAUUUGUUUAUGCAUCAAACAAGAGGUAGUGAUACUCUUCUUUCUCCUUGGACCUUUUAAUCAAAGUCUCAUCUGUCGGGAGAAUAGGGACGAAGUUGAGUCUAAUCAAUCUAAAUCGCUCAAGUUGGGCUAUAUUUGCUAGCAAACAAGGUUGAAACAGAAUUUUAGAUCCUCCCACUAUUCUUACCCGAAACCCUAGAAUCCAUAAAUAUGAAAUGUCAGGUGCUAUGACAUGAAUCCGAUAAUCUAAUUAUGAGAUUCUAUUGCAUAACAAGGCCUUGGAUUUGUAGGCCUCCCAUCUACUUGAAUUGAAGCCCCCUUAUCAAAGAGAAUUAACACAGGAAAAUGAGAAUUCAUUUUGAGUUACAUUAAACUAGAAGAGAUGACGGCAUGAGGGCAUGUGGAGACAAGCUCAAAUUUGAAAAAGGAAGAGAAAUAUACGGCAGGCCAGGGCAAAGUUGGGGUUCUCUAGAAGGGAUAUGUCAUUGGCUGCUUCCGUGUUUAUAGUGUUCACUUGUCGAGACAAAGUAAGAAAAAAAAUAGUACGAGGGCUCAUGGAGACUAGGUCAUAUACAAGUAUGUUCAGAUGUUCCUUGAAGAAAAGCUUAAGAGGACCAACAUGAACUCAAAACGUGACCUUUCUUUUGGCUUUUUUACUUUUUCUAAUGAUUUUGGGUAAGGAUGAAAAUGGAGGGAGAAAUGAUUGGUUCUAAUUGGUGAAUGCAACUUGCAAACUGCAAGUGCUGAACCAAAUAAUAGGCACAUUUCAUGCACACCAAUAGUAAAGGUGGGACCAUCCUUAGAUAUGAUAGUUUCAGCUUUUUCAAUGUGAAUGCAUGAUUCCAUGAGCACCUACGUGUAUUUAUGUACUACCUUCUUCAAGAGAUAAAAGUAAUAAUUUUGUUUUUUUUUUUUUUCGUGUACAUGUUUUUGCUCUCUUGCAAGUCAAUACAAAGAUAACUUUGAGAUCUUCACUGGAAUCUCUUCAAUUACUUGACUCCAUUCUUUCAAAAUUUGCAAUUAUGCAAUCAUGGGAGUCCUUUCUCCUUAACCUCCAUCAUGUGGGUCUCUUGGAUAAGGUUGAGCUAAAGCAUGAGAAAGUCAAGAGCAAAAUAAUUUCUCUUUCUUUCUUCCUUUUCUGAAAGUGCAAGGCAAUGCAUAGUCCAUAUGAUAGAUCAUGACUGCGCCUGAUCAUUGAUGAGUCCUUGUCAAUUGUUGCUUACGUUGAAAUCAAUCUUGAUGAUUAGAUUGUGGUGAGAUCAUGCGUGGUUUUGACAUUCAUGGAAUGAUUGCGAUCCAUGUACUGGGGAUUCAAUCAAAAUCUCCACUCUAUAAGUGGACCAUGCACAUUUAUCUCUUGAGCAUGGUUCUCUUCUGAUAGAUGCUAGGGUUACAAUGAAGGCAAAAGGCCGCAGCUUUACAUGUAAUAAAAAUUUGGUCCAUCAAGAGUCCUUUAUCACCUUGAAUUAUUAUUAUUAUUGACAGAAUACCUCUUACCAUCUAUUUAUACAUAUAUGUGUGUGUGUGAUUUGUGAAUUAAGAACGAUGCAAUUCCAACGGCCAAUUAAGAAGCAUGCCUUAACAAAAUUCAUUGGCAAUUGAAGAACUCAGCUGGAAUAAAAAUCCUGUUAUUGUAAUCCGUAUGUAGACUCAUGUUAGGUCUAGUGACUGUGCAAAGAUAAUUUACAGAGGCACGUGUCAUAAAUCACUUAUUAAUGGGAUUUGUCUAAACUGUAUAUACAUGUGAUUCUUCUCCAAAUAACGACAUUAAUAUUUAGAUAAAACCUUUAUACAAGGUAUCAGAGCCAAGUUUCAAUCGUUUGCACUCUAUGUAGUUAAUAGUUCAUUUCAAAUGUGGAUUCUGAUUUGCCUUAUUCCACGUUGUCAAUACCACAGACUUAAGUACCAAACAGCCUAACUCGGACGACAGUCAUCGGUCAAAUCGAAUGGGUAUGGAGCCCUAAGGGAACCGUCCGAGUACAAAUUUGGAUGGACGAAACUCAGCCAAUGAUGAAGAGCCAUAUCCCAAGUUCAAGCACACUCUUUUUGACAAAAUUGUCGAGCAAAAGAUGACGUGAUGGAGAACUAAAGCGAUGGAGAAAGCAACCCCAAGUCGUAUGUGGGUUAAGCACGCUCAAUACCCUACUCGUCAAGCAACUCAACAUGGUGGGGAAAUUUCAGGCAUUGUGUCAUCUAAUUUGAGCAACCGAUAUAUUUCCUUUUCAAUAGUGUUGCCAAAAGAAAGAAAGAAUCGCGUCAACAAGAAAGUGAUGCGAGAUGGUCCAACAUGACCAAACACAUGAAUUUUCAAUUUGUGUUAGCAAAGGUUUAAUAAAGGAAGAAGGGUUUUACAUGCGCAAGUCAAUGGAGAGGACAAGAGAAAAUGGCGAAGGGUGGGAUGUGAACAAAUCGUGGGGUUGGGGAAAUGGGUAUGAAAAUGCCCUUACGUGCAAAAGGACCAAUCGAUUCUGACUACAAAUCAAAAGUCACAUGGAAAAUAUAUACCUUCUACAUUGAAAAACAAUCAUUUGCCCAAUACAAGACAAAAAGCAGGUGGAGGAGAGGGUCAUCAAUUAUUGUAGAAUCGAUUCCCCUUUUAGAAUUACAUUCAACCGUCCGAAGUGUACAGCAACCUUGUUGCUUCUCUUUCCCCUUUGAGAAAUCAGGAUGUAGAUAUAAAGUGGUAGAAAAUUUAAGUAAUAAAUUCAUAUAUGCCUCUGAAAAAUUUAAGAUUCUAAAACAAUUGGCAGUGAUACCAUACCACCUCAGAUGAUAUUAGAGCAAGAUAUUUUGAGUCGAAUCUUCCAAGUCCUAUUGGCCUCCCAGAUAAGAUAUUUUCACAUUUAGUACUAAGCAAAAAAAAUAAAAAAAAUAAACUAAGUAUAAAGGGGAGUGAUCAAAUAUUUAAAUAAUAAAUUAAGCAUUUAUUUAAAAUGUUUGAGUUUUUGAAAUAGUUAAUAAUGAUCCCAUAAAACCUCAUAAGAGGGGAAAAAAGUAUUGCAUUUACUCAAGGAGGGCUUGCCCAUCCUUGGGUCUCUCUAGGAGCCUAUCACUUAGAAAAUAGUUUACGACAUAUGUGAUAAUUCAAGCUUGAGGAAGGUUAUUGGCUACAAACUUUCUCAUCCUUGUACUUAAGAAGAAAGAAAAAUGUCACCUAUGAAUUGUUCUUGUCCUCACAUAAUGCAUCCUUUGAACAACCUCGAGGUAUAAUAAGGGGUGUUCAAUAUUGGUCGAAAAAAUAAGAACCGGUAUCCAAUAAAAAAUUUCAUUAGGUCCAUCGACAAUGAUUUUUUUGCAUAACCAUUACUCUUGAUAACGUGAUAUGCGCAUAAAAUCUGGCGUUAUAAACAACUUAAUAUUUGCACGAGGGACAAAACAGAAAUUAAGCUCAUUAAACCCGAAGAAAGAGCAAGAAAAUAGAAACAUAUGUCUGAGCCAGAAGCUCGAGCCAUGGCCUGGUGGAGCGAAGCCAAGAAAAAAGCCAAACAACGACCGGUUCAACUGAAAGUAACCGUCAAAGGGGGCGAAAGAAAAGGUGAGAAUAGAAUAACUAUAUGGAGUUUCCAACUACCAAUGCAUUUGCAAAAUGACAAAGGAGAGAGGAGAAGAACAUGUAACCUAAUGAAUUUUCUAUUGCCUGAUGAACUGUGUCGCUCUAUAAAAUGCUUAGAAAAGGCCACUCAUGAGGCCCCCCUGACCACAUUGUCCCAUUCUCCACUGCCCAUGUCCCUGAGAACAUGGAGUAAAUUAUGGCUGCCUUCUCCACUAGACUUCUCUCUCUCUCUCUCUCUCUCCCUGGAGUAAAUUAUGGCUGCCUUCUCCGCUAGACUUCUCUCUCUCUCUCUCUCUCUCUCUCUCUCUCUUUCUCUCUCUCUCUCUCUCAAUUAUUGUCUAAUAUGUUGCAGGCAAUACAUAAAAAAAUGUUUGUGCUUAAUGUUUUGAGCAUCCGAAUAAUCUCUAAUAGAUGUUCCAUGUAUACUGUUGCUCGAUGAAAAAAAAAUUAACGGAAUGCAAAACAUGCGGUUUGAAAAAAGGUGUUAAGCGAGGAAGAAAAUUAUGCUUAUUAAAAUCGGAUAUUACACCAAUUCUCUAGUUAUUUUAAGCUUUGGGGAAAUUUAGAGCCUUUUGCUUUCGCCUUGGAAAGCAACAAAUGUAAAAAGCAUUCGACGAGAGGACUAUUAAGAACUUGUUAUUGAAUUAAUUCGUUUUGAUUGAUUGCGUGACUUUUCAAAUUCUUAGGAGAUGGUUAACCAAGCAAAUUAUCAAAUUGCUUAUGAUUUCACUUUGGUAAAUAGUAAACACCAUUGCCUGGUGAACAAUUUGACAUCGAAAGACCGUGUUGCUGAAAUUUUGACAUUGUAAUUUGUAAACUACCUAUAAUGGUAUAAAUUUUCGAAGUUUGAAGACAAGUUAUCAAGAUCAAAUAUUUGAAUUUUGCAUUGUAAAAGGAGACAGACGGAAGGUGUUAGUUAAACAAGACUUUUAAUGAAAGGGUAAUUGAGUCUAGGUAUAAAUGGUCUGGACAAGAUAAAUGAGUACAAAACCAUCUUAUUCCAUAUAAUCUGCACAAAAUACCUUGUUCAUGGUUUAGGAUGCGGUGUCGAAGGAGGUUAAUGGGCGCAAACCACUUCAUUUAAUUUGAAAAAAAAAUCCUCUUCUCUCUCUACAACAACAAAUAUUUCAAAUAGUUGUAUUCAAGAUUAAGAGAGAGCACAUGAUUCGGAGAAUUGUGCCAAGAGAUGAAAAAUCUAUGGUGAUUCACAUAAGACGGUGGAAUUGCUAGAAUUGCUAGUAGUUAAAAAUCUUAUCAGUUCUUAUAUUUUUGUUAGAAUUUCAAAAUCAUCUUUUAAUUAUUUUUAACGAGAGAGUUAUAUUUACAUCCUUAGAGGAAUUUGAUGAUUGAUUUUGCUAAUAUGAUUUUAAUGAUGUUAAAUUUUUCUAACCCGAAAACUCCCUCCCCCCAGGUGACAACGAUCACCACCACCUCGAGGUGGCGCCCGCCUCUUUGAUGAUUGUUGGUGAUGGGGCGCUUAUUUGGCAUCAUGUGAGAAAUUUGAGCAAAUCAUAAGCCUUAAUGCCAAUCAAAUUAAACAAGUAUAUGACUAUGAAUUGUUUAUAAAAGAAUAACGGCCAUUUUGAAUAGGGAAAAAAGGUAGAAGGGCAAUUUUAAAUUGUCAGUAUGGAAAUUGAGAGUGACUUUAUCCCUUUUUACACUGCCCUAGACCAACUUCUUCAAUAUACCCCUACGCAUAUGCUAUAAAGAUGUUAUGAACCAAAAGAAAAAAAAAAUGCUAUAAAAAUGUUCUCCUCCUCUUCGAGAGAUUCAGAGCUUCGCACCACUUUCAAUACACCAAAAACUAUCUCAUGUGAUGAGGUACCAACCCUAAUGGGUCAGUGAAAAAUGAAACAAAAAAGAAAUUGUAAAGAAAUCAUUCAUUGCUCUCCCCCAUGCCCACUCUCUCUCUCUCUCUCUCUCUCUCUCAUUUGCAUAAGUCAAGCCCAACUAUAAAAAGGCAUCCUCAAUUUACGGCAGAAACUCCCAGAUUGAUCACUCUUUAGCUCCUGACUCUUGAGAGUCUCUCUGGGAAAAAAAGUCGUCAAACCGGCCAAACACAAACCCUACAAAAAAAAGAAGACCCAGAAGGUGAAGAGAGAGAGAGAGAGAGAGAGAGGAACGAGAACAGAGUAUGGAGAUUGAAAUGGUGAAGUGCGAGUGUUGUGGGCUGAAGGAGGACUGCACCCAAGACUACAUAUCCCAAGUGAAGUCCAAAUUUGAAGGCAAAUGGCUCUGUGGGUUGUGCUCGGAGGCCGUGCGGGACGAAGUAAACAGAGCCAACAGCAACAACAAGAAGCCAUUCGGGGUUGAAGAAGCCGUGGGAGCUCACAUGUCCUUCUGCAGAAAGUACAAGUCCAGCCCUGCAUUCAGGGUAGCUGAUGGGAUGAGGCAGAUGCUGAGGAGGAGGUCUGGCGAUCUGUCGUCUUCAUCAUCUUCUUCUUCUUCUUCUUCAUUGUCUUCCUCUUCUUC